CAGAUUAAACCUGCAGCCAGUCUGAUAAAUCCUCAAAAUCCGCCACUGUUCAAACAAGUAGGGAUGGAAAAAUACUUCAAAGAUUUCUUCUCCCGUAAGCUGGAUGGAAAAUCAUAUUUAGAGCAUAUGAAGAUAAAAAAUGAGGAAGCAUAAAGUACCUGAAGUCCUGAUACAUGCAUAUGGUUAUGUUUAAGUAUGGUAUGGUUUGGCAGUUGCAUGGAUCCAAGAAAUAUUAUAGCUUUGAGGUUUGUAGUACUGUUCCUAUCUCAUUACGUACACUUAUCGAAUAAGUUCUGUAAAAUAAAGAUUCCCUGUAGCGGGUUGUUGUGAUGUUGUUUCCUUGUUAUUCAUAAAUAGUAUUGUAUAAAUAUACAAAGAGGGAAAAAACUUGUCAUGAUUAAAAAAGCUUGUUUCUACUAUUAUUUUGCAGGGGCGUUUAUGAUUAUUUUUAUUACCUUUUUAGUUGGUAAAUGACAAAUAUUGAAUGUAAAAGGUUGAAAAUUAAGGAUUACUCUUUAUCACAUCAAAUCAAUACUUUUCAUGAUAAAAAUAAAGAAUUAAUGAAAGGAAAAUAUUAACAUAUGGUGGUGGUGGCCCACCAAACAAAAUAUCUAGCACACCAAACAAAAUAUCUAAACGAUGAGAUUUAUAUCAUUAAAUAAAUAUAUAAAUAAAUUAAAUUAAUAUAUACAAUAUAAAUAAAUAAAAUUAAAAUACAGACCUAAAAAUAUAAUCAUAAUACCACUUAAUUAAUAGAACUUUUUUGAUAACUAUAAAAAAUAUACACAUCGGUAUUGCAACCAAAACUUUAUUAAAAUAAUAAUUAUUCUAUUAAUGAAAAUUAUUUGUUAUUUAUUUAUUUUUCCAAUAAAUAUAUAUGAUCAUUUUUUUUUCUUUUUUCCUUUUAUGAAAGUAAGAACAUUUAGAUUAUUCUUGUAACAAGUUAUUAGUAAACUUGGGACAUAUUAUUCCAUUUGUUAUUUAAGGAUCAUUCCAAAAUAAAAACAAUAGUCAAUUCACAAAAGAUAAGAUAUGAUAUUUGUCACAUCCAAAAUAAGAAAAAUGUGAGAAGAUAAGAAUUAAAUAAGAUAAGUGAGUGACAUUCAAUUCAAAAAAUUGUUUAGGUUGAUUGAAGCUAUUGAGAAACACUUGUCAUAUACGUAACCCUUUAAUUCUCUAUCUUAAUUAGGUUAAGUAGUUUUAUGCAUAAUAUGACUUGUCCCAAAUAGAUUCUACUUUCAAAGAUUGUUUUUGAUAAUUAUUUUUAUGAAUAUUUCCAAAUAAGUUAAGCUAAUCCUGGAUAUGAAAAUAAUCAACACUAACCUUUUAUUUAUUUAUUUAUUUAUUUUAUUUUUUUUGGAGAAUGGUAAAAAAUUUGUGUCAUGUCACAUAAACUCCGAACCCUUUAAUUAUAAAUCUUAAUUAGGCUAGUUGGCUUUAUGCUAGACCUAACAUUUGGUGCCCUUGCUGUGCAUAUAAACAUAAAAUAAGAAAAUCAUGAGAAAAUAAGGGAGAAGUGGCAUUCAAUCCAAAAUAACUCUUUAACCCAACUAAAGUCAUUACUUUCUUUUAUCAUAUGUCCAUAUAUAUAAACUCUAACCCCUAGUUAGGUUAGCUGACUUUAUCCAUGAUGGUCAUUUGGUCCCCCUUGAUGCAUUGACACGAUUUAUCAUGAUAAUAAAAGCUAGCCCUUGUUUGAUUUUGGAAAUGUUUAAGAAAAAAUAUCAGGGAAAAAAUAAAUAAGAAAAAUAGAAGAAAAAGGAAACCAAAAACAAAAAUAGCAAUAGUUAAUAAUUUAAAAUUAAUAAACUAUUUCUUUCUUGCUUAGUCUUCAAAAAUAUUUUACUUACUUUCCUUCUUUUAUUUAAAAAUUAAAUAGUUUAAUUAUAUUUUAAUACUAACUUGAAUAUGAAAAAAUUAUUAUUUUUAUAUUAUUUUUCUUUUCCUUAGAAUUUUAGGAAACUAAACAUAAGGAGAUUCAUAAAAUGAUUGAUUAAUUUCUUGUAAUUCUUAACAGAUUUAUGCCAAUUAAUUAGUUAUCAUUUGAUCAAUUAUUAUAAGGACAUUAUAUUUAACAAUUGCUAUUUUUUGAGUCCAAACCAGCAGGUCAAGGUAAGCCAGAUUCUGGACCAUUUUGUCUUAUUCUCAUCCCAUUUUCAUCACUUGAUGAUAAAAACGAUCUUAAUAAAGGUUUAUAGGCAUAUAAUUCAGAACAGCUUGUUUGAAUGGAUGUUAGAUGGAAGUUUGUCUUAAAGGUUUUUUAUGUUCUUAACAAAUUAUGUCAAUUUGGCUACCAUUUGUUCAGUUAGACCCAUUAUUUACAAGCACUUAAAUAAGGUUACUCAUUAUUUACCAGCAGGUCAAGAUAAACCAGAUAUUUUUAACCAUUUUGUCAAAUUUUUUUAACCCAUUUUCAUCACAUGAUUAAAAAGAGACUUGUUUGGACUUUUAAUAAAAGCUCUGUAAGGUUAUAUUUUAUAGCAACUUGUUUGAAUAGAUGUUCAAGGAAGGCAAAUACAUUGAUCUAGUUGGUGAGAAGUUGGACUAAAUUGUUCUUUAAAUGUCUGAUGCUAGUGGAGAAAGAGCGCUCCUGAUAGAUGCAAAUGUAUAGAUGUUGAAAUAAAUCUCGUUAUGAUUUGAUAUCAUAUAUUGUUUGAUGAUAAAGGUAAAUAUUACAUCUUAAACUUGAUUUCACCAUUAAAUGUAUUUUUCAUCUAGUCAAUUGUGUAUUAUAUUGUGUACACUUGAUUUAUUUAAUUAUUUUUAUAAUUAAAUAAAAAUAAUUUAAUUUAAGUAUUUUUUUCAUUUUCCUAUUUUUAAUAUAAAAAAGGAAAUUCAUUUAUAAAUUAUAAAUUAUAUUUUAUUUAUAAGUUAGAUUUGUUUAAAAUAUAAUUUAAAUUUUAAAAAAUGAAAUUUGAAAAACAUAGAGGGUGUAAUAGGUAUGAAAAAAUUCUCAUGUUCAUUUGCUCCAAACUUGUCCCACAUAGAAUUUUUUUUUCCUUUUGGAUAGAGAACAAAAUAAAAUAAAAUAAUCAUGAUAGGUUGAAAUAAGAAUCACCUCUAGAAUCGACUCCCCUUAUUAUACCUAAUUAACCAUAAAAGAAAAAUGUCUAUUUAUAAAUGUGUUGGUUAAUUCAUAUAACACGAUCUACUUAUCCUUUAUUUAAUUAAACUUACGCAUAUGUGGUAUUAGAAAAAAGAGUUUGAUAGAGGAAAAUAAGACUAGGCAUAAAAUAAGAGAAAUACAAAAGGAUAUUUUUGAAAGAUACGGCAUUAGUUUUGUAAAUAUUUUCAAACACUCUUUUUAUAAAGCUAUAUAUAGUCAAAGGACCUGUUUUUAGAAAAAUUUAUAACACCACCUUUCUGCUUGACACAAGAAAGAAACAAGUGUAAAAGUGCUUAAUUGGUAUGAAAAGGGUAGGUUUAUUUCACUUCUUGUCCACUUUGGACUAGUCAAGUUUGAGUCAGUAUUAGUCAAGUUAGUAUUAGUCAAGUUUUGAAAUAAGCGUGUUUGAAAAUCAUUCCCCCUAGACAUCUUGGAUUUUGUUUUUAGUGAUGCAAAUCAGCAAGUGGUCCAUUUUGCAUCAUCCGACAAAUAUGAACUACUUUCUCCCUAAUCCCAUUUACUAAUCCCUUUAUUAAGAAAUAUAAUUGAUUAAUCUGAGUAAAACAAAGGGUGGACCCAAACCUUUUGUGGGCACUAUUACAAAUAGGAAAAUAUUAUGAAAUAGUCAUAAAUGAAGGUUUCUUCGGUUAGGUCCAUUAACAAAAAUUUAUUUGGGAAAUGGUCUAAAAUUUUUUGUGGCAAAUAAUGUUUUUUUUUUAAUGCAAAAUUAAUUACCAAUCAUUUGCAAUUAGCUAUUGAGAAAAAAAAAAAAAAAAAAGGUGUUUUUUCACCACCCUCAAAUAUUUCUAAGAUAUCAACAUCGAGUUACAUUAAUUAACAUUAACUUAUUUUUCAAUGCAUAAUAAUCACCUUAAUUAGUGUAGAUGAAACCCUAACUUGAAAAACAUUUUUUUUGUUAAUCUUAAGAUUCUAAACUAACCCCGAGGGCAUCAUAUAUCUUUUGUUUAUGAUAUUUAUUUUCAUAUAUAUUUUAUUGGCUUAUUUGAUUAAAAGGGCCUCUCAAAACUCAAUUUUUUAAAUUUAAUCUCUCACCAUUUUUUGGCAUUAUUUGGUUAAAAAUGUCAUCAUUAUUUUGUUGUGAAUAAAAUAUUUCUCUUAAAAUCUGCAUGUAAAAGUUGAAAUAGAAAAUGACAUUUGUGUAAAAAAUAAGUUACUUUUCUAUAAAUAAAAAAAACAUGAAAAUUAUUAAAAAUUUUAUUUGGGGAUUAUUUCAUCAUUUUAACCAAAUAUUUCAUUUUUAUCUCUCAUGGCUAGUCUCUAUAUAUACUCACAAUUAUUUUUUAUUACAAUAUUACAAUAUUACAACAACUCGCUACAGGGAAUCCUUAUUUUACAGAAAUUGUUUGACAAGUGUACGUAAUAAGAUAGUAAUAGUACUACCGAUCUCAAAGCUAUAAUCUUUCUAGGAUCCAUGCAAUUGCCAACCAGAGCAUACCAUAAUUAAACAUAAACAUAUACAUGUAGUCAGACUUCAGGUACUGUAAUCUUCCUCAUUUUUGAUCUUCAUAUGCUCUAGAUACAAUUUUCCAUCCAGCUUACGGGAGAAGAAAUCUUUGAAGUAUUUUUCCAUGCCUACUUGUUUGAACAGUGGCGGAUUUUGAGGAUUUAUCAGGCUGGGUGCAGGUUUAAUCUGAGCUGAGAAUUUGGGAUUGAAGAACAUGGCAAUGGAGAUCCUCUCUUUUGCCGCAUUUACUGUUGCCCGGUGCUCUAUGCUGGUGUAUACCCCGUUGCUCAGAAUCUGCAAAAUAGGAAGACACGGCAGUUGGUAAAAAAGGGGGCAUUUUUCCUCAAGUACUAGUCAUUAUUCGGUGUUGUGUGUGUUCUAUUCUUUUUCUACCCCUGUAUUGUACUUUAGGUUUGAAUGAAUAUUAAAGAGAAACACAUGCCAGUGCCUGUAAUCUCAAAGUGACAGCUCCACUAGUGCAUAAAACCAUGAAGCGUGGGGCUGCAAAUGAUAUUUAAUUAAAACACAAAAGAUUUAAGUUUGAAAAUGGUAGCUAGGGUUUCGAAAAUAUAGAGCGGAUUCCAUUUAGCAUUUUCUAUUUUAUUUUAUUUUAUUUUAUUUUGAAAGAGAGAAAGGAGUCUGUGGGGAAACCUCGAGAACGUCUCCUACAUUCACAACAAGAGCAUCUGGAAGGAAGCUCACAGGAAUCCAAACCCCAUCCUUUUUAAUUUGGAGACCAUCCACUCCAUUAAUUUGGAGAAGGAUGGUGAUGCCGGUUGCAUCAGAGUGAGGCGUAAGCCCCAUAACCAGCUCUGGUUGUGGGCAUGGAGGAUAGUAACUCAUCCUCACUGAUUGCAUCCCAUCCUCAAACAACUCUUCCAUCUCUCCUUUCUCCAACUUUAGAGCUUUGGCCAUAAAUCCUAGAAGCAUCAUCGCUAGUUUCUGCAGCUCCGCUAAGUAACAUUCCAAGCUAUCCCUGCAGUUAAAGAAGAAAACAUGUAUAAAGCUAUAAGAAGAAGAAGAAGAAGAAGAAGAAGACGAAGAAGAUGAUGAUGAGAGAGAACCUUAGCGAUGAAGGGAGUUCUGGUAAUAGAUACGGCUUCCUUGUAUGUAUAGGGUUGGUUAUCAUAUAAAACCUAUCAGCCCAGUCAAGUUUUUGAUCUUCUGACCGGAUUGGAAGAUGCCCGUACCCUUCAACAUCACCGGGCCUCAUCUUGUAUUUCAUUCUCUCUUCCAAGGGAAGUUUGUAAAAUUCUCCGAUCUCCGAUUUCAGUUUCUCCACAAGUGAAGAGUUGACUCCAUGGUUCACCAACUAUGCAUCCAUGAACACACAUGUUAGUUUCUGUAUUGUUAUUUGUUAUUAUUUUUUUUCAUAUUGGUUUUGGUUUAAUAUCUAUAUAUAUGUCAUGCAAGUAGCAAACGGAUUACAAGGGUCUACUUUAUACAAAAUUGCAAGGGAUAUAAUAUGAGCCAAAUCAUUCAUUUCUGAGUAAUUUUGUCAGUCGCCUCACAUGGUCCUCUUCAUUUGCCUGGACACAACAAAACAGCCCCUAAAGUUCAAGUGCAAUACAGAAAAAAUGAUUAGAGAUUAUGGAUGUUGAGAGAAACCUGAAAGAAACCCCAUUCUUUGCAUGUUGAGUGCAACUUCUCCAGCUCAGAACCUGCGGUUUCACUCAUAAUUAAAUGUUUCAUGUCAAUGGUGGGGAGUAGUGGCAGGGGAGUGUUGGCUGAGAGAAUUGGAGGCUGAGGAUCAUCCAGGAUAAAUGGCUGUGGGACUGCAGGGAUGGGCUCUUUGAUGAGCUCCUGAAUACUUUGAAUAGGAGCAGCACGAAAGCUUGAAGAUUGUGUCGAUGCCAUUGCUAAUUAAUUGGCCUAAUUUCAGUGACCAAUUGAACCAUCUGGAGGUGGGUAUUUAUAAUGCAAAUAUACUUGAGGAAGACGAAAAAGAAAAAGGAAAAAAAAAAAAAGGGGGCAGCACAAGCAACAACUGAACCGUGUCAAACCAUUGUUAUUCACGUUACAACUGGUAAGCCAGCACCCCAGAAUAUUUCUAGAAGUAUAAGGUGUUGUUUGAAUGUAUAUAUUUAGUACUUCCAAUUAAAAAUAGAAAUACAAAAGCUUUUUAAACUUGCCUUAAAAAUGUCAUAUCUUUUAAAAAAUUUUAAACAUAAAAAAAAAAUUAUUCUCUCAAAUUUUAAACAAUCUUUAAGAAUUUAAGUUCGUACUUACUAUAAAAAAAGAUACUCCACAAAGAUGGUAUUAAUUAUUUUCUAUUCAAACCAACAUUCCAGCUCAUUGUUUCUGCCCAUCUACGAUCCAUGAAGAUGGUUCGGUGCUCAAGAAUUUUUUUUUCCUUGACUGUAAACCACGUUAAGUGACAGCUCUUCUUGGAGCUUUUCUUAGAUGCCCUUAUGACAAAUGCAAUGCCCAUGUUUCAAGAAGUAAACAAUGUGAACAGCUUGUACCAACAUGCUAGUCCUUUUUUAUUUAGCAAAUAUAGAUAUUAAUGAAUAUCUAGUUGUUUUUUAACAAAUCAAAAGCAAAUGGCAGAUAAUUUUCAACCAAUGACAUACCAAAACCUUGGACAGGUCUUGGUUGUAUGAUGGAUAGAUGCCGUUUUCUCUUAUUUAAGUGUUGGUUGAGGCAAAAAUUUUCUAAGCUUCUUCAGUAUAUAAACGUGUCUAAUUUAUAAAUUUAUCACCAAAACAUGUGGGAGGUUUUGACUAAAUAAAAAAAAUAGCCUUGACUUAAUUUGCAAGGUCCUAUAAUAAAUCCUUGACUGGUUGAUCGAUCUAGGCCGUAUUUUUGAACUAUAAAGGAACCUAAAUGGAGUGGAAGAAUUUUAAACUAGGGAACACCUCUAGAAUGUCUCCCACAUUCACGACAAAUGCACUUGAGAGAAAGUUCACAGGCAUCCAAACCCAUCUUUUUUUUUUUUCUAUUUGAAAACCAUCCACACCCCAUUAGCUUGGAGAAGGAUGGUAUUCCGGGGACAUCGGAGUGAGGCGUAAGGCCCAUGACCAGCUCUUGUUAUGGGCAUGGAGGAUAAGUCAUCAUCACUUACAGCAUCCCAUAUUCCCAACAUCAAAUCAACAACCCUUCCAUCCGUCUCUUGUCCAAAUUUAGAGCUUUGACCAUAAACCCUACAAGCGUCAACGCAAAGUUCCUGCAACUACGAUAAGUAACAGUCAUGUAUCCCUGCAAUCAAGAGAAGAAAACGUAAAUUAAAUGAUCGAAAAAGUAUGAAGAAAAGAUCAUGAUAAUGAUGAUGAGAGAACCUCAGUGAUAAUGGGAGGGAGCUUUGGCGAUAAAUAUGGUUUCCUUCUAUGGAUAGGGUUGGCUAUCAUAUAAAAUAUAUCACCCCAGUCAAGUUUUCCAUCUUGUCAUCGGAUUAGGGACAUUCCAUAUCUUCAACAUCUCCUGGCCUCAUCUUGUAUUUUCCAAAAGUCCUUUAGAUUAAAUAAUAUUAAUUUUUAUUAUUUUUUUCCUGGUACACUUUACGAUAACCAUGUUGCCGGCCAUGGCACAACUGAAAUAUGAAGGUCCAUUUGGCCAUAAUUUAAGUUUACUCUAUAAAAAAUUUGCGUGGAUUCAGGAAACCUGGCCACGUUUGAGAAUUGUUUUUUAAAACAACUUUCUUUAUCUUGAAAAUAAAAUAAUAGAAAAGCAUGGCUGACAAAUGGGGUUAAUUUUAUCAUCCAAAAUAAAAUUUGCUACUCCAUUUGAACACACAAGAAAAUUUACAAGGUCGAAGUACAUUAUUAACUUCCACUGUGUUAAAACAAUGGGUUUAUAAGGUUUCUCUCUAGAUAAAGCUAGAGGCUCAUAAUUAUUCUUGACUAACAAUAAUUCUCAUCAUCAAUAAAGAUUGAUAUUUCAAUAUUACACUGAGUGGGUAUUUUGGAAGAACACCUUAGAGAGAUCAAAUGAGGAAUUAAACCCAAUAUAAACAAAAAGCUCAUUGCAAGAUUCAUCAAAUCAAAUUUAGGCUAAAAUCAAUGCAUCUCGCACUCCUAAUUUUUAUUUAUUUAUUUGUUUUUUUUUAAAGCAAUUGGGAUAAAGUCAAUUCAUUGAUACGUUCAACCCACACAUGGGGUAGACAACCCAACAUCAAAAAUACCUUUCAAACAGACUUAACUCUUUAAUUUUCUUCAACAUUAAAUGCCCUUUAACAAAUAUUUAGAGUGAAUUUGCAUAGUAGUUAUAAUAUUUCAUUUCCAACAACAAAUUAACCAUGUAUACAAAAUACUAAUUCUAUUUAGGAUAAGUCUUUUUGGCUCCUUUAAUUUUGAAACCUAAAUAUACAAUGAAAGUUCCUAAAUAGUGGUUCAUGGGGAAGGAGCAUAAAUACUAAUUUUAGUUGGCAAGAUGGAGACUAAUGAGCAUUCCUUUUUGGCAAAUGAAAAGGAAAUGAAAGGGAUUAUAAAAUUACGCAUCAAACAUAUGAAAGUGAGAGCUUGACGGAAGUACUCCUCAGGGACACAGCCACUUGGGCUAACGAAAAAUAUUAAAACCAUGGCGGUCAAGGGAAGUUAUGUUUCAUUAAAAGUAAUAUAUAUGGCAUCGCUUGAACAGGUCUUGAUUGUAUAAUGGAUGAUGGAUGUCGUUUUCUUCUACUUCCGUGUUACUCAAGGCAUGAAUUUUUUAAGCUUCUUUUGUAGCAACGUGCUUUAUUACCAAUUACUUUAUGCACAAAAGAAGAACCAUGAGGUUUCACUAAUUAAAAAUAGGUAUAUUUUAUAUGAAUUCCUGACUGAGACAGGCCAUCCUGCAGGGGACACAUUUAAAAUCCACUUAAAUAAUAAAUCGUCAUCAGUGAUGACAGGUUCCAGACUGGAAAUCCACCAAAAGGAUUUGUUUGGAUAAUACUAUUAUUUACAAGUUUUCAAUCAGACGAGCACAUCUUGCAGGCAUUAAUCCCAUACAUGGGUGUAGGUUCAGUCGAAUCAAAAAAAUUAGCUUCCUCUUGAAAGCAAGACAACUGUAAAAAUCAAUCUAAAUUCUCCUAUUGGAUUGAUUUAGGGUGGGAAGUGCAAUGAGGUUUUUAAAAACCAUUUUCUCCAAAAGCUAUUCUUGAAAAUAUAAACCCAUUUUAUAACUUACAUACAGUUGAAAAAAAAAAGAAAUAAAGAAAGAAAGAAAAAAAAGAAGAGAUUUUUGAAAUUUUAUUUAAAAUCUUUAUUUAUUUAUUUAUAAAUUAAGAGUAUUAUGAAUUAUGAAUAAUAAUUAAAUUUAAAACUACAUUUUGCUGACAAAAAGUAUCAAUCAACAAAAAUAGAAAGAGAUUUAAGAUCUCUAAUUUAAUUUAGGGGAAAUCAUCUAAUUAUACACCAACUAUAAAAAAUAUGAUAUUUUGGAACUUUACUUUUUUCUUUUUAAUUUUGGUGUAAAAUACUUGUACCUUGGUUCCUGAAAUUUGCUUUAGUAUCAUCAAUAAAAUCGUUAGUCUUUUGUAUAAAUUGGGUGAAAACUUCUUCCAAGUUUGACUUCUUCUCUUGAGAUUGGAAAUUGGAGGGUGGUUUUUGCACAUUAGCAUUGUUACUCCAUGAGAAGUUUGAAUGAUUCUUCCACCCUUGGUUGAAAUAAUUGGAGUUGGGAUUGUAUUGACGUUGAUUAUUGGCCACAGAUUUCACUUGUUUGGAUGUAUUUGCUUCAUAUGGGCCUCCAGCUUGACACUUCAAGCUAGGAUGGUUACCUGCACAAUUUUCAUAGACUACAUUAGAAACUGCAACAACAUUUAUUUUCUUAAAAUUAUUAUUUAAAUUUGCAACUUGAGCAGCCAAAUCAUUAAAAACAUCAAUAUCAUGAACCUCGACUGUCUUCUUUUGUGCAUUUAUAUCCGUAGACUUCAAGAAAUUGUUGCUAGCCAUCACUUCUAUAAGUUGAUGUCCCUCCUCUUGUGUCUUAUUAAUAAAAACUCAUCCGCUUGUUGCAUCCACCAUGGUUUGAGUAUUAUGAUGCAAACUAUUGUAGAACGUUUGCACUUGCAUCCACAUUGGUAGGCCAUGGUGUGGACACUUUCUUAAAAGAUCCUUGAACCUCUCCCAAGUUUCAUAAAGAGACUCUUGAUCUUGUUGUAAAAAGUUAGUUAUAUCAUUCUUCAUCCUUGUAGAUUUUACCGAUGGGAAGUAUUUAGUAAGAAAAGUGUUAACCGGUCCAUCCCAUGUAGUGAUUAUCCCAGGAGGUAAUGAAGUCAACCGUGCCUUAGACUUGUUAUUUUGAGAGAAGGGAAACAAUUGAAGUCUUAUUGCAUCAUCAGUCACACCAUUAUGCUUGAAGGUAUUACAAAUUUCUAAGAAAUUUGCAAUAUGUAGAUUAGGAUCAUCAUUGGCCAAUCCUCCAAAUUGUAUCGAAGAUUGAAUCAUUUAAAUAAUUGCUGGUUUGAUCUCAAAAUUGUUAGCUUGGAUGAGUGGCCUUCGAAUGCUUGAGACACCCACAGUAGGAAUAGAAUAAUCAUUGAGUGCCCUAUUUGGGACUCCAUUAUCAUUGUGAUUCUCAUCCCCCCAUUGUAAGAACCUCUUGAAUUACUUGUUGCUUGCGUUUCCGAUUUAGCUUUCACAGUGUUUUGUUGAUAUCAAGGUCGAUUGGUACUAAGUCCAAACUCCUUGUAUGUUCUCAUACACUAAGAAAACCUAAAAAGAAAAAAACAAUUAAGUAAGAAUAAAAAUAAAAUAAAUCAAAUUAGCAUAAAAAUAACUAGUAUUAAUAUUAGUAACAAAUAGUCCCUGAUAGCAGCGUCAAAAACUUGAUGUGCAAUUUCGCAAGUAUACAAAUCAUUUAAGUAAUAUAAUUGUACCUAAGUACGGAUAUCAAACCCACAAAGAUUAUGAUACUAAUUACUAAAAUUUAUUAUCUCUACUACUAAUUGAUUAACUGAAUUUUCAAAGAUGCAGAAGAAAGUAAAUUAAACAAUUAAAGAAAAUAAAUUCAAAUUCUUAUGAUUUAAACGAUCUAGGGCUUUUGAUUUCACUACAAACACUUUCAUAUAAUUGAUUACUUAAACUAAUUUCUAUUAUGCUUUAUUUGGAGAUUUAAAUAUCAAAAAGAUAAAAAGAUUUAAAUAUGCGAUAAUUUAUAGAAAGAGUUGAAAACAUAGAAAUUAUAAAAGAUUACUUAGUAUUAUAUUAUGAAUUUUUAUUUAUUAUUAUUUUUAUUUCAUCAAUUAUUUAUUUAUAUUUCAUUUGGCUCAUAAUUUUUCUUUUUAAAUUAUUAUCUUAUAAAUUUAGUAAGAUUUAUGAAUUCACUCUAACUCUUCUAAUACUAAGGGGAUAAACCAUGAAUUAUUUUCAAAGGGUUUUUAGCAAUUCCUAUGCUAACUGGGGAUAGUGGCUAUGGCUUAGAAGCAUUUUUGGGAAAGGGAGAAGCCAGUGUUCAUUGACAUUUGACACCUUAAUCUUUAGGCUACGAGGAGAGAAGAUUGACAAGUAAAGAAAGAGGAAGUUUAACAGGGAAAACUGUAAUUUCAUGGGCUCAUUUGAAAAUAUUCAUAAGAUACAAUCCUUUAAAAGUCAUCCCAAGUCUUUUGUACUCUAAAAUAAGGAUAGUACUUCAAACACUCAAAAUAUUAACUUUAAAUAAAAAGUGCAUAAAUUUUUAAUUGUUUUUAAAUAAAUUUAUUUAUUUUUUUCAUGUGGGUAUAAAACCACACAUUUUUUCAUAAUAAUAAUAAUUAUAGUUUUUUUUUAUAAUAAUAAUAAUAAUAAUUUUUGCAAUCUUCUCUAUGGAGGCUUCCUCUAACUCUAAUUCUUCUAAUACUAAGGGGAUAAACCAUGAAUUAUUUUCAAAGGGUUAUUUAUUAUUAUUAUUAAUAUUUCAAAAGAGUGUAUCCCUUUAUUUAUUCGGAUUCUAUCGGGACUGACAGAUGAUGCAGGCAGAUUCCAUCUCAGCACUUCAAGUAAUAAUAAAAACGUGAUAAUUUAGUGGAAAAGAGGCAGACAAUUAGUCAGCAUAAUCCAUCCAAAAAUUAUUGAGCCCGAAAAUAGUAACCAUUGAUUUCCCUGUCACAAGUGUCAUACUGACAUGAAUUUUGAGCUUAUCUUAAUUUGGUCUUGCCGGUAUACAUCCGUGAUGGGUGCAUUAUUGACUUGACUAGCAAGCCCACUGGACCACUCCAUUUCUAUGAUUUAAAAAUCCAAGGAGGUUCUAGACGAAUCCCAAAGUUCUUUUUGGGUGGACAAAAACCUCAAAUUAUUUAUCGAGGGUCCCAAAAGAAUAUAUACAUCAUGAUAAGUAUGAUAAUGUUUCCUGUUCUCCUAAGCAUUAAUUUACUUAUUUUUUUUAAAGAUAUAUCUAUUUUUUAUGAAAUUAAUAUAAAAUGUUAAAUAUAAUUUUUUAUGAAAAAUAUAUUUUCUUUUAUAUUUUAUUUUAAUUAAAAAUUAAAGAUUUUAACAAAAAAAAAAUAGAUCCAUAAUCAAUUUAAAAUUAUAAGAAAAAUGAUAAAAACAUCAUCACUUAUUGUGAUUUUGAUAUGAUAAAUUUAAAAUUAAAAUUAAAAUAAAAUUAAUGUAAAUAAUAAAAUAGUAUUACAAAGAUAUUUUUACUUUUACAUGUGAUAUAAUUUACAAAAUAAAUAAAUCUUUUGUUUAGUAUUAAUAUAAAAAAUCUUAUAUCAUAAAUUUCUAAAUAAUAAAAUAGAAAAUUUAAAUUUAAACCUUAAUUUAUAAAAUGUAUUAUUAUAAUUAAUAUUUAAAAUCAUAGAAUAUAUUAUUUGUGGGAUAAUAUUUUCAUUUUUGUCCAUUAUAUUUUUUGUUUUUAUUUAAUUUGUUAUAUUAAUUAUUUAUUAUAUAUUAUCAUUUUAAGUUUAAUAUAUCAAAAAAAAAUUAAAAUCAAUAAAUAUAGACAAAUUAGAUAGUAAAAAUAAAUCAAAAUUAAAGAAGUUUUAUGAGAAAAUGCACAAGCAUAUUAAAAAGAAUAUAAAGAAAAAAGGAAAAAUAAUAAUAAAAACUAUAAUAGUUGACAAUGAAUUACGAUGGUAGGAGAGGAAAAAAAAAAGAAAAAAAAAGUGGAAACAUGGCAAAUAGUAAGAGAGAUAUAUUGAUGUGAGAAAAAUAAUAAAAAUAAAUUACAUAUGUACUUGUUAACAGAUGAUAUUAAAUUAGUGUGUAUUUUGUCCUUUACUUUUGAUGGUAAUUAUGAAACAAAUUUGAAAGCACUGUUGGAGUGCAUGAAUCGAUAAUAUUUUUUCCAAUUUUAUACCAAAAUUUAAAAGAAAAUAGUAAAAUUUUAAAAUCUCAUAUUUUUUAUAGUUGGUGUAUGGUUAGAUGAUUUUCCCUUUAAUUUACAAUAGAUAUAAAAUAUAAUAAAAAAUUAAAUUAUUUUACUAGUAGGAUUACUAAUUUUUGGAUGAAUAAAAAUUUAUUGAUUCAUUGACAAAUAAAUAAUUUAUCUAUUUGGAAAGAGCAUUAUAUUUCUAUUAUUUGUGUGACUUAUCAAUCCAAAAAUAAUAUAAGUGGUAAAAAAUUAAUACAUAAAAACCUAAAAUACUCUUAAAAAAUACUUAUUAAUUAUAAAAAUAAUAAAACUAUUGAGACAGACAAUUAGUCAGCAUAAUCCAUCAUUCAGCACCUUAAGUAAUAAUAAAAACGUGAUAUUUUAGUGGAAAAGAGACAGACAAUUAGUCAGCAUAAUCCAUCCAAAAACUAUUGAGCCCGAAGAUGGUAACCAUUGAUUUCCUUGUCAAAAGUGUCAUGCUGGCAUGAAUUUUGAGCCUAUCUUAAUUUGGUCUUGCCGAUAUCUAUCCCCGUGAUGGGUGCAUUAUUGACUUGACUAGCAAGCCCACUGGACCACUCCAUUUCUAUGAUUUAAAAAUCAAAGGAGGUUCCUAAACUGACUGGCUUGUUACUAAUUCUGUAUUUUCUUAUCAGAUUCUAAUUAAUUAGAUUAUUGUGGAUAGCAUUUGGCCACCAACAACAUCUCUCCAGACACUUAACCUUGCUUUCUUUGUCCAAUUCCUGAUUAGUCAAGCAACCCAGAUUUUCAAACAUUAAUUUUUUUGUGAAUCACAUCUCUUUUCCCCACGUGAUUGAAAAUGGCCUUGUUUGGAAUUUAGAAAGGGAUUGAAGGGAUAUAUAUAUAUAUAAAAGAUGAUUGAGUUAGAAGUCAAGAAUUUGGUUUUUUUUUUCCAAGUUAGGUUUAUUGUCUUACCUUACUCCACCAGUUUGGAUUAUAAAAAUGGUUAAAUAAAAAUUAAUUUAAUUGUUUGUUUUUCUAUUUUUAAUACAAAUAAAUAAAUAAAAUUUAUUUCUAAAUUAUAUUUUAUUUAUAAGUAAUACAUAUUUUUAAUAUAAUUUUUUUAAAAAAAUUAUUGAUAAACAAAGGAGGGAGGGGGUGGAAACUUCCUUUGCUUUUUUAUUUUGAUUUUUCUCUAUCUAAAAAAAGAUAAAAAUAAAUGUAAAUAAUCAAGACAAAUUGGGAUAAUAGUAACUUCUCAAACCUACUUUUGCUAUUAUUCCCUAGUUAAUCUUGAAGGAAAAACAUCGCUAUCAUCCCUAGUUAAUCUUGAAGGAAAAGCAUCUAUAUAUAUCUUAUAUUGGAUUAAUUCAUAUAGAAGGAUAAAAAUGAUUCUUACAUGAUUUAGUUGUCCUACGUUUAAUCAAACUUACAUUCGUGUGGUACUAAAAUCCUUCAUUUAAUCAAACUUAUAUGUGUGGUAUCAAAGAAAACUUGAUUGAAAAAAAUAAGACUAACCAUAAAAUAAGAGAAUUAUAAAUGAAAAUGAUGUUUUUAAUUUAUUUGUUUCAGAGUAGUUGUGAAAAUGUUUUUCUCCAUAUGAAGCACAAAAAAACAUUUAUGACACCAUGUGACAAGAAAAAAAUGCGUGCUAAAGUGUUUAAAAGGGUAGGUUUAUUUCACUUCAUUUCUAUCGAAACUUUGGGUCAUAGUAAGUGUUGAAAUAAGUGUAUUUUUGAAAAUCAUUUUAUUUGACAUCUUCUAUUAGAGGUAUCUUUUUUCAAGAGUGAGAGUCUAUUUAACAAUGCUUUUUAAAAAAAUAUUUUUUUAUUAUAAAACAUGUUUUUAAAGAAAAAUUAGACAUUUGAUAAAAUUUAAAUAAUAUUUAAAAAAAAUUAUAAAAUCAUUUUCUUAAAAGUCAUUUUACAUAUGAUUCUUUAAAAAGCAUUUUCGCUGAAAACACAUCAAAUAAAAAUAUUAUCCAAUGUACCUAGCCGUACUUGCUAUUGGAGGGAUGGAUAAUCUACCAAUGCAUAUGACAUUUUACGAUUUGUCCAAUUCAACUUGUGAUCUAUUUUGAGACAUUUGACAAAUAUGAACGUUUUUACCUAAUCUCAUUUACUAAUCGCUUUAUUGGCUUGGCCUUUAACCAGUUGCGUAUGUGUAUAAAGGUGUGUAAAUUAAUUUCAAUCAAAACCAAAUUAAUUUAAUUGAUGUUAACUUAUUUUUCAAUACAUAAUACCCAUCUUAAUUAGUGUAGAUGAAACUCUAGGAUGGAAAACCUUUUUUUUUUUUUGGCUAAUUUGAAGAUUCUACUCUAAGCUCGAGAGUAUCAUAUAUCUUUCCUAAAUCAUCUUCAUCUUCAUUUUCAUAAAUAUUUUUUAUUUCUCAUAUGCUCAAACUCACAAAAUCUUUUAUUUUUUUAAUUUUUGAAAACCAUCUAUCUCUUCUCAAUUUUGGCUUUUUAAAAUCUCAUCUAAUAUAUCUUCUCAUCUUGAGUUAUAUCUCACCCACAUUUUUUCUUUUCUUAACUUUUAUGUGAAAAAUUAUCAUUUCAUAAAAUCCCCAAAAGGCCCAAUCCUUUGUUAGGGUCACAAAGUUUAAAAUGAUUAACACAACAUGAUUAGAAUCCAACUGUUCCUUUAUAAAUUUGGGUUGAAUAUAUAUAUAUAUAUAUAUAUUCAUAUUUAGAGUAAAUUCAUGUCAAUAUAUAUUACUUGUUUGAUAAAUAUGUUAUUCUAUAUCUUUGACCAACUUGUAUAACAUAAAUUUGAUUUAAAUUGAUAUAUGUGAUAAUAGUGAUAAUACUUUUAACCUAUUUAAUUCAUUAAAAAUUUGAUUUUGAAUAAACAAGUUAAAGUAAAAUCGUAAGGUUAAUUAUAUAAACUCAUACAAGAUUUAAUUUUAUUUGAUUAUUAAACAAUACCUAAUCAUGAAAUAGGUUAAAUAGAUUAUAAAAUGUAUUAUUGGUUUAAAACUUAAAUACAAUAUGAAAAUGAUGCAUCAACACCAUUUGUCACCCCUUUCAUUAAUUUAUCAUCAGUGCGUCACCUCUUCCAUCAAUACCAUUCUCUUCUAUUCUUCCCAGAAAAAAUAAUUACAAAAGCUAAUUACAAAAUAAUUACACCAAGGUUAUUUCUGAUAGGGACAUGCAUCCUUAAGGGCAUUGUCCCACCGUGCCUACCAUUGGCAUAAAAGCAGUUCUCGACACCAUCUCCGACCUCAAAAUGUUCAUUUUGAACACCAUAAAAGCGGGCUUCAAUGUAUGUUUUAAAUGAGGGAUUGAGAAUUGCUUCACAUGGGAAACCAUUUGAAAAUUAAUAGGAUAUUGAGAAUCAUAUUCACUUUUAUUAAUUAACAAAUCAAUUUCCAAAAAUUAUGUUCAACUCUUUAAUUUCAUUCAUUUUACCUAUCAUGUUCUUCAAGUAACUGUGCUUGUUCUUCCUUCACUCUCUUUCAUUUUAAUUUUUGUUAUUGAUUAUUCAAUAGUGUUGCUAACCCAUCAUAUUUUUGUUGCCUUUUUAUAUUUAAAAAGUGAUUUAACAAUGACUCUCAAAAGUGACAUCAUGAGUUAACACGUUUCAAUCAUAAGACGGAAUGACUUUUGAGAAGUAAAAAACUUUAUUUUAUUUUAUUUAUUUAUUUAUAUUUUUAAAGAUGAAUAUUUUUUUUAUAUUUAUCUAAUUAAUUUUAUUUAAAGAGUUUAUAACUUAAAAACAUCUCAAUAUAAAAGUUAGAAAAAUAUUACAUCUUAACAAAGCUUUAUCUUGAUUUAUGUAAGAAGUUAUUUCAUAUUUAGUAAAACUUUUAUAAUAUUGAUAUUAUUUUUUGAAAAUCAUAAUUUUAACUUCAACUUCAAUAUUGGAUUAAAAGAAAAAAAGGGAAUUAUCUUAAAAGUUCUCAACAUAUUGAUAGGGGAUAUGACUUUGGACAAGACAAAAAAUCGAGAUACUGAUUGCUUUUAGUAUAAAUAUUCUGCAAUUAAUUAAGUUUUUUAGGGAAGAUUUGUUAAAUUAGGUUGUGAUGUUGAUUAGGGUUCAAGAAGAGAUGAGGUUAAGAAUAGGAAGAAGUUUAAAAGAACAUUUCAAAGGGAGAAUAUAAUUAAGUUUGGUGAUGUUGAUAAGAUUAUGAGAGAAAUGAGUUUAAGAAGUAAAAAAGAAGAAUUUAGAAGGUAAAACAUGCAUGUUUGAAGUGACUUCUUUCCAUCAUGAUACAAGAAAGGGUAAAAAUAUCAUUUUGAGUUUUUAAUUUGUUUAAUCACAAUGACAAAGAGGUUAAUAUAGUAUUUUGAAGUAAAGGUAAAUUUUGUAGUGUAAUAUUUAGANNNNNNNNNNNNNNNNNNNNNNNNNNNNNNNNNNNNNNNNNNNNNNNNNNNNNNNNNNNNNNNNNNNNNNNNNNNNNNNNNNNNNNNNNNNNNNNNNNNNAGGAAGGUCAUAUUAUGUAUAAGGAGGAGAAAAAUUAUCCUUAAUCAAAAUAAUUUAAGAAUAGACAAUGCAGGGUUAAAUUGAGAGUUGUUCAUUUAGGUUGGAAAUUGGACCCAACAUUAUCCAAUUUCAUCUGUGCAAGAACCUGAAUUCAUUUCUACCACCUUGACAUGGUUAGUCAAAUUCUAGCUAACAACAUAAGUUUUGAUGAAUUAGGCUUGGUUUGAAAUUUGUUCUGAAAAAUAGUUUUUAUUUUUAAAAUAAAAAUAAAAUUUUAACUUAAAAAAAAGAUAUAUUUGAUUAAUUUUUAUCCAAAACCGUUGUUGAGAAUUUAUUAUCGAAGUAUAUUGAUUUUUGAGAACAAAUCCGAAACGUUUAUUUAUUUUUGGUUAAACAUUUUUAAAAAAUAAUUGAAAAUACUAAUACUACACCAAUAACCUUUACAUUCUACAUAGGUGUAUUUUCACAAAGAGUAAAUUGGUAUAUAUAUAUAUAUAUAUAUAUAUAUAUAUAUAUAUAUAUAUAUAUAUAUAUAUAUAUAUAAGUUUUUAAAUGAAAUUUUGUAUUUAAAACCUAUUCUAAAACACUAAAUAUAUUUUUCAUAAACGGGCCCUUGUUUAUUAUUGCUAAUUACUUUGAAUAUUUAAGUGAUCAGAAAAUCAAGUAACUCCGGUGCAAUGUCUAGGGAACACAAUCAUGAUAAGUUUUUCCUUCUUUAUAUAUUUACGCAUAACAAGGCAACGACAUCACAACAACCAGCGACAGGGAAUGCUUAUUUUACAGGCAAGUAGCGCCCCAGUGGAGCGGGGCUCUUAUUAUGCAUGCUUUACAGAAAUUAUUGGACAAGAACGUACGUAGUACGAUAGGAACAGUACUACCAACCUCAAAGCUAUAGUAUUUCUUGGAUCCAUGCAACUACCAAAUCAUAGCAUACCAUAAUUAAACAUAACCAUAUACAUGUAGCCAGGCUUCAGGUACGGUAUUCUUCCUCAUUUUUUAUCUUCAAAUGCUCUAUGUACCAUUUUCCAUCCAGCUUACGGGAGAAGAAAUCCUUGACGUAUUUUUCCAUGCUUACUUGUUUGAACAAUGACGGAUUGUGAGGAUUUAUCAGACUGGUUGCAGGUUUAAUCUGAGCUGAGGAUUUGGGGUUGAAGAACAUGGCAAUGGAGAUCCUCUCUUUUGCUGCAUUUACUGUUGCCCGGUGCUCUAUGCUAGUGUAUACCCCGUUGCUCAGAAUCUGCAAAAUAGGAAGACGCGGCAAUUGGUUAAAAAAGGGGAAUUUUUUCUUAAGUUCUACUCAUUAUUUAGUGUUGUGUGUGCCUUCUAUCUUCUUUUCUUUUGGUCUUUUCUUUUUUCUUUCCCCUGUUCUCCAUAUUUGAUUCCUAAAAAUAAAACGAGAAAAAAAAGCAAGAAAAUAAAAAAUAAAUUUAAAAUUAAUAAAUUAUUUUUAUAUAUUAAUUUAAAUUUAUUUUACUUAUUUUAAUUCUUAAUAUAAAAAUUAAAUAAUUUAAAAAUAUAUAAAUUUUUAACUAAUUUUAAUUAUAUUUUACUUUAUGUGGCUAUUUUUAGAGCACAAUAAAAAAAAUUACAAUCAUAAGUGGAAGCUUAUGUUCUAAUAAUUAAACUCAUAAUUCCUAAAAAAGAAACCAAAAUCUAUCCAAAAGCUGAGAGAAAAAAACAGAAAGAAAGAAUGAAAGAACAACAAGGCUUUUUACAUGAUCCAAGCAUAUACGGAGCCUACAUUCUAAUAAACUCAUAAAUAUUAAAACCAUGAAGCAUGGGCUGAAAAUGAUAUUUAAUUAAAACAGAAAAAAUUAAGUUUGAAAACGGUAGCUACGGUUUCCAAAAUGUAGAAAGGAGUAUGUGGGGAAACCUCGAGAAUGUCUCCUAUAUUCACAACAAGUGCACCUGGAAGGAAGCUCACAGGAAUCCAAACCCCAUCCUUUUUAAUUUGGAGACCAUCCACUCCAUUAAUCUGGAGAAGGAUGGUGAUGCCGGUAGCAUCAGAGUGAGGCGUAAGCCCCAUAACCAGCUCUGGUUGUGGGCAUGGAGGAUAGUAAGUCAUCCUCACUGAUUGCAUCCCAUCCUCAAACAACUCUUCCAUCUCUCCUUUCUCCAACUUUAGAGCUUUGGCCAUAAACCCUAGAAGCAUCAUCGCCAGUUUCUGCAACUCCGCUAAGUAGCAUUCCAAGCUAUCCCUGCAGUUAAAGAAGAAAACAUAUAUAGAGCUGAAAGAAGAAGAAGAAGAAGAAGAAGAUGAUGAUGAUGAGACAGAACCUUAGCGAUGGAGGGAGCUCUGGUAAUAGAUACGGCUUCCUUGUAUGUAUAGGGUUGGUUGUCAUAUAAAACCUAUCACCCCAGUCAAGUUUUUGAUCUUCUGACCGGAUCGGGGAAAGCCCAUACCCUUCAAAAUCCCUGGGCCUCAUCUUGUAUUUUAUUCUCUCUUCCCAGGGAAGUUUGUAAAAUUCUCCGAUCUCAGAUUUCAGUUUCUCCACAAGUGAAGAGCUGACUCCAUGGUUCACCAACUGCGCAUCCAUGAACACACAUGUUUGUUUCUGUAUUGUUAUUUAUUAUUAUUAUUUUUUCAUAUUGGAUUUAGUUUAAUAUCUAUAUAUAUAUAUAUAUGUCAUGUGCAAACAGAUUAUAGGGGUAUGCUUUAUACAAAAUUGUAAUGGAUAUCAUAUGUGCCAAAUUAUUAAUUUCCGAAUAAUUUUCUGUCGCCCCACAUCGUCCUCUUCAUUUGCCUGGACACAUGAAACUAGAUUUCAUGCACAUCAAAACAGCCCUUAAAAGUUCAAGUGCUACAUAGACAAAUGAUUAAAGAUUAUUGAUUUUGAGAGAAACCUGAAAGAAACCCCACUCUUUGCAAGUUGAGUGCAGCUUCUCUAGCUCAGCAUCUGCGGUUUCACUCAUGAUUAUAUGUUUCAUGUCAAUGGUGGGGAGUAGUGGCAGGGGAGUGCUGGCUGAGAGAAUUGGAGACUGCGGAUCAUCCAGGAUAAAGGGCUGUGGGACUGCAGGGAUGGGCUCUUUGAUGAGCUCCUGAACACUUUGUACAGGAGCAGCUCGAAAGCUUGGAAACUGUGUUGAUGCCAUUGUUAAUUGGCCUAAUUUCAGUGACCUAUUGAACCAUCUUAAGGUGGGUAUUUAUAAAGCAAAUAUACUUAAGGGAGGGGGAAAAAAUAGAAAAGGAAAAAGGGAAAAAAACAAAACAAAACAAAAGCAGCAACAACAAUUGAACCGUGUCAAACCACUGUUAUUCACGUUAUAACUUCGAGGCUACUCCAAAAUAUUACGAGAAGCAUAAGGUGUUGUUUGGAUAUAUUUACUAUUUUUAAAAAUAGAAAUAGAAGAGUUUUAUAAGAUUUAUUUUAUAAAGGCAAUGCCUCAAAUUUUAAAAAUUAUAAAUUUAUACUUUUUAUAUAAGCAUACCGUAUUAUUUUCUAAUUUGGAAAACAAAAAAUCAGAAAAUAUAUCCCAUCAAUCACUCAAGUUAAUUGUCAUGGCCGUCUAUGAUGAAGAUGGUCCUUGUAGAAAUGUAAGACUUAGCGCUCAAGGAAUAUUUUUCCAUGUCUGUAAAACAUGUGAAGUGUGAGCCCUUUUUCGAACUUUUCUUAAAUGCUCUUAUGAUAAAUGCAAUGCCCGUGUUUAGUGUUUGUUACGUUGGAUUUCCAAAAGUAAACCAUGUAAACUUUACCAAUAUAUAUAUAUAUAUAUAUAUUAAGUGACCACUCUCUCAUCGAAUUUGGCAUUAGUAAUAUUGUUUACCAGGCUGAAAUUAAUGCUAAUGGUUUUUAUUUAACAACAUAUACAUUGAUGAAUAUCUAUUGUUCUUUGACAAAUCAAAAGCAAAUGGUAGAUAAUUCUCAACAAAUGACAUACCCAAAUUAUACUUUACAAAGAACAGUGAAAGCCACGUGAGAACCGCAAUGGUGUAGACUAAAGCAAAAUAUUUGUUUUAUGGUAUGAAAACAAAAAAUAUAAUAGUUAAGUAAAAAAUAUGGGAUGUUUCAAGACCUAGUACUUGUAUUUAUUUUUGUCAUUUAUAAUAUUUUUUAUCGUAUAGUGAAAUGAUAUCUCUCAUCCAUUAAAAUAAACAUGAUUGAUCGGAUCACGUUAAAAUCUUGUAUAUCUUUAUAUGUAAUUUAUUUAUAUUCUUCUAUUAAUAUGUUUACCAUGACGUUUCCAUUGGCACAAGAAGUUAUCGAUUAAUCGAGUCUAGAAUAAAUUUGCUAUUACAAAUCAAAAUUAUUUUAAAUUAUAACAUCAUAGACAAUAAAAUAAUAAUAAUUAAUUCUUAUCUCAUAAUUAGCCCUUGAGCAAGUCUUGGUUGCAUGAUGGAUGGGUGUCCCUUUCUCCUAUUUAAGCGUUAGUUGAGACAUGAAUUUUCUAAGCUUCUUCCCAUAAACGUGCGGAAUUUACAAAUUCAUUGCCAAAUCAUGUGGCAGGUUUUGACUAAAAAAAAAAGAAAAAAAAAAAGAAUCAUGUGUGCCAGAAACGAUAUCAUUAUCAUACCGUCAUCUGUGAUGCCAAGUUUUAGAGGGUUUGCGCUUGAUGGAGGGUUAAUUUGCAAGGUCCUAUAAUAAAGCCCUUGAUUAGAUUGGCAUUUUUUAACUAUUGAAAGCAGGGUGGAAGUCGAAGACAGGAGGAAUCAAAAUGGAGUGGAAAUAGAAUGAAAGCACCUAAUAUAAAUCAAAAUUAAGAAAUUUAUUGAAGUGUCUAGGAUAAGAAUCCGGAAAUGCAUUAAAAAUGAAAUUUGACGGAUUUGACUUAUUUACUUAAUAGAAACCACAAUAAAAUGCAUAUAUAUUUAUUAUUAUGGUUAAUUUCAAUCAUAUAUCUUAAGAUUUUUGUUAAAUACACUUGAAUUGUUGUUAUUAUUAUUUAUAUAAAUAAAAUAUUAAGUUUACAACAAUAUAUAUUACUAGAAACUUUAACUCUUAAAAGAGUAUUUAUACAAUUUUCUUAAUUUAUAUGACUUGAACUCACCAAAGUUUGGGUUACUUAAUAUAACACAAAAUAAGUCUGAAUUGAUUAAUUAAUAACACAUGAUCAUCUAAUUAAUCAAUUAGUCAAUUUCAGAAAACUUGUUCACUAUUCCUUAUGCAACUUUGUGUAAUUACCAAAACACUCUUAUGUACAAGAAUAAACCUAGAGUUAAUCCAACUCUUCUAAACCUUGUCAUCAUGGUAUAUGAACUUAGAGUAAGGACCACUAGGACCCAUAGGAGUAUUAACUCCCUUAAAAUCUAAUUAUGAAGUUGAUGCAAGAUUUCACACUAUAAAUAAUCAACUACACUUUAGUACCUUAUAUAAAUGACAAUGAGAUGAAACUUGGGUAUAUACCUAUUAUCCACUACAUGCAAACAUUCAAUGAACUAAUAUUUGUAAUCUAAUAAUAUAGUGUUAUCACUUAUUGAGACUACCUUUCAAAUCAUUGAGUUAUAAAUCUCAUUUAUUAUGUAAUCAACUGACAUACUUUAACUCUAAGAAACAUGUUAAAUUCCACUAAAUGAAUUAUUGCAAUCAUAGAUUUUAUGAUCGCAUAUCCUAUAGAUCACCCAAGGGGACACAAUGUCUCAAUCUCAUGAAAUAUUAUGAUGUCUCUAUUGAGAAUAUCCGUUGUCACUAGUCUUUAUCAAUAGUGACUUAAUUCAUAGGGAUAUAUGACAACUUUAAGGUCUCAUCUAUAAGUCAAAGUCUUCUGUUGAUUUCAGUAUAGAUUUAAUAUCCUUUUAAGGUUAAGAGUUCAUACAAUAUAGUAACUUAAUGAAUCAUUACAUUUGAUAGUUUUAUAUUAUAAUUCAUCGUAGGUUCUCUCCAGUAUGCAUUACAUAUACUAGUAGACUCACUAGGAGAAACUCAUCCUGAUAGUCAAGAUAAGUCUUUUUUUUCAGUUAAGAGGUGUUGCACUAUAAUCUCUAAUAGAUUGCCCAAAUUUAUGAAUUGAUUGUGCACAACUUAUCUAUUUACAAAUAACAUAUGACUUAUAUUUUUUUUAUAACUCCUAAUAUACCUAAGUCAUAUACAAUGUAAAAAUCAAUGUCAAUGCAUAAAAAUGACAGUAAAGGGACAAUUAAGUUCGAUUUUAUUACAUCAUAUCUUGUUUUUUAAGGGCUCAAUUCAACAAAUCUAUCUCAUGAACCCAAGUAUAAAAAUCACAAACUUUUUGAGAAAGAGUUAAGUGUAAAGAAUAAUGACCUAAAAGUUUAGGUGCAUUAGUUCUUGAGAGAAUUUGCCCAAUAGGUGUAUAUAAGAGAAAACUCAAUGGACCUAGAGUCAAUUUAGAAACUUAAGAAUUUUAAAAAGAUUUGGAAAAUUUUCAUUUUUUAAAUUUAAAAAAUUUGAAAAAAAAAAUUUAAAUUCUUAAUUUAACUUUUUUUUCAAAUUCCAUAAAAGAUUUGGAUUAUUUUUUUAAAAAAAAAUUCUAAACUUAUAAGUUUUUUUAAAAUUAUUUUUAUUAUUUGAAAAGAUUUUUCUUUUUAAAUUCUCCUUUUAAAAUUCUUUUCAAAUUAAUUUUAUUUCUAAUUCUAUAAGUCUGCUUUAAGUCUUUUAUAUCAUUAUUCUCAAAUAAAUCAACAAUACUUUCAUGUUUAAUCUCAAUUGAUUUUACAACAACUUUGAACCUUUAAAGGAGUCUAAAUCACAUGAAAGUAUGUAGAAUCCUAAAAUAGGAUGAAUGGAACAAAAUUAUGAACUUAACUUACAAUGAAGGCUAGUAAGACACUUAAAAGUUUGAAAAAAACUAUUAAAGAAUUUAUAUAGACUGAAUACAUGUUUUAUUAUUUAUGUAUGAAUGUUUUAAUUAUGUUAUAUGAUAAAUAAUGUGCCAGUACUUCAUUUUGAUAGAAUAUAAAUUUAAUUAAUAGCUCCUUUAAUUUAUUUUUGUUAAAUUCAUUUGAAAAUGAUUUAUUAUUUAAAUUCUUUUCAAUAAUCUUUUUAUUUAUUUAUUUUAUCAAAGUAAGAUCUUUUCAAUAAUGGUAUAUGAUCUUUUUAUUUUUAUUUACUAUUUAUUAUUAUUAUUAUUAUUAUUAUUAUUAUUAUUAUUAUUUUAUCAAAGUAAGAACAUUUAGGUUACUCUUGUAACAAUUUAUUGGUUAACUUGGGAGAUAUCACUCCAUUAAUAAUUUAAGGAUCAUUCAAUAAGAAAAAUAAUAAUUAAUCUGAAAGGAUAAAUUAUGACAAUUGUCGCAUCCAUAAUAAGAAAAAUGCAUUUUAAAAACCGGAUCGGACCGGUCGGACCAGUCCAACCGUCGGCCGAUCACCAUUCCGGUCCGAUCCAGUCAUUUAGACCGGAUUGAGAUCAAACCGGGGUUAAACCGUUCGAACCGACGGUUCAACCGGUGAACCGGACGAACCGACCGAUUCAAAAGAUUUUAAUUUUUCUUUAAAAAAAAAUUAGAAAAUGAAAAUAUUACCAAGGAUUCCAUGGAACUUAAAAUAGAUUUUACUAAAGGAUGUUGGGCCUAUCUUAUGAUACAGCCCACAACCCACAUACCCAUUCCACUUUAUGUGGGCUGAGUUUUGAGUCCACAAGCCUAUCUUAACUCUUAAGCCUUUGCUGAGGAAGGCUUUUAUAGGAGUCAUUUGACUCCUUGUUCCUCUUUCUUGCCGAUGUGGGAUUGCUAAAUAUCAAAGAAAAAAAACAUAACAAAACUCCAAGAAGGUUUGAACCUUAGACCACCCCUAUACUAAAGUCCACAUAGAACACCACUCGGCUACAUGGAUUUUAUUAUCUAAUAUGCCAAACAAAACAACACAUAUUAGAUUUUAAAUUUUUUUAUAAUAUUAAAUAAAAAUAAUAUAAUAUUUUUAAAAAUUAUGAAAUUAGUUUAAAUUUUCAUUUUUUUAUAUAUUCACAUUUAAAUAUUACACAUAUUUCAUUUAAUAAAAUUUAAAAUAUUAAUAUGAUUUAAUUUGAUAAUAUCAAAGAUAUAAAAUAAUAUUAUUGAUGUUUAAUUUAUUCAUAUAUAUUUUAAAAAUUUUAUAAUUAUUUUUAAUUUUAAUAAAAUAUAAAUUAUAUAUUUAUGAUGUCACCGGUUCAAUAGCGGUUCGACCGCCGAUCCGACCAGUGAACCGUGAACCGGUAACUUUUCCGGUUCGAUCACCGGUUCGGUUCUGAAAACAUUGGAAAAAUGUGAGAAGAUAAGAAAAAAGAUAUAAACACUUUUUAGAAUUACUGUCAAACAAAUUCUAAAUAUUUGAUUCCCUUAACUGAUUCUACAAGGAUAAAACACAAUCAAUCACAUACACUCUAAAGUUGACCUUGACCCAAAAAAAUCCUACUGUUAUAUAUUUUAGUUAAGAAAAUAUAGACAUUAAAACCAUUAAACAUGGGACGGCAAUUGGUUUUAUAAAUUAUAACUCAUGGUUUUCAACUCAAUGUUGGCGUUAUAAGGUAUCAUAUUUGUCAUCCCACUUUAUAUCAAUCUCAUAUAUGGAAAUCUGUUAUAAUGUUGUCUUGGUAGCCUACAUGACUAGAUGAAGGUUGUAUAUUUAUGUUUAUGGAGGGGGACAUACCCUAUUUCAAAAGGAUAGUUUAAAUGUGACUGAACCUUUUGCAAAUUAGAUCUCGCAAGAGGGUUGAUUUAUAUAUUGAGUUCUAUUCCAACUGCUUGAGGAAGGACCCUAAAAAGUAGUUUGCCAAGUGUUUUUUGAAAAUGAUUUUUGAAAUUUGUUUUUGAAAGCUUCUUAAUCUACUUUCUAUAUUUUUAUUUUUUUUAUUUUUUAAAAAUAUCUUUUGUUUUGUAGUGAUUUAUUUAUUCUUUGAUUGCUAAACAUAUUUUUCUAUUUAUAUCUUCCUUUCAUUUCAAAAUAAGAUUUUAUACUUUGCAUUAUUAAUUUUAAAAUCCAAUUGAAUUAGUAGUGGGAUAAUGCUUCUGUCAGUUGGAAUUCAGUUAAUUAGUAUGGUUGGAAAUUCUCUCUUCCAAUGGAAGCUUGUAAAAUUCUCCAAUCUCAUAUUUUAGAUUCUCCAAAAGUGAAGAGCAGACCAUGGUUCAUCAAGUGUGCAUAACACACGUUUUACUUUAAAUUUUAUUAUUAUUAUUAUUUUUUACCAUAGCCAUAUAUGCCAUGGUGUAACUGAAAUAUAAAACAUCCAUUUGCCCGAACUUUAAGUCUACUCGAUUCAAAAAUAUAAUUAACAUGAUAUGCGCCAAAUUAUUUCAAAAUAAUUUUUCCCCUUUCAAUAUAUAUAUAUAUAUAUAUCAAAAAUUCAAUAUUUACUCACACAUUCUAUUAUACCAAGGCCGACUCUUCUUUGUUCAUUUAUCAUACAAGUAAUAUCACCAUUGUUCUUUUUAUAUAUGUGGAUGACAUUUUUGUUGGUGGUAAUAAUUAAUGAUCCCUUUAUUACAGAUUUAAUUACCCAACUUAGUCAUGAGUUUGCAACAAAGAACAUCAACUUAGUCGUGAUUUCCCUUUCUCAAACAAAAUAAAUUCAAGACCUUCUCACUAGAACGAAGAUGCUUCACAGUUCCCCCAUAGUCACACCAAUGUUCCUCCAAGAGAAGGAAACUUCUACCGACAUAAAUUCUAUUGACACCAUUGAUUAUCAUAGUGUUGUUGGUGUCUUGCAAUAUUUAACCUUUACAAAAUUUGACAUUAUGCCAACUGUAAAUCGGGUAUGUCAACAUUUCAAUAAUCCUACGUCGAUUCAUUUAUAGGCAAUGAAGCGAAUCCUUUGGUAUCUAAAGGGCACUUAACACUUUGGAUUACAUUAUCUUUCACAAAGUCCAUUAUAUGUCUUCAGUGAUGCUAAUUGAGCUAGAUGUUCAAUUACAAGGAGAAGCACCAUUGGUUUUUGUGUCUUAUUUAGGGCAAAUUGUAUUUUAUGGUGUUCAAAGAAGCAACCUACAAUUGCUUGUUCUAGUUUUGAGGGAGAAUAUAGGUCCAUGGCAUCUACAAUUGUCAAAAUUACUUGAAUAACAUUCUUACUACAAGACAUUGGUACGACACUUCCUCACCCUCCUUAGUUGUUAUGUGAUAAGUGUAUUCCAUAUAUCCAUCAACCUAAUGUUCUAUGCUUGAUCUAAACAUAUCACAAUUGACUACCAUUUUGUUUAUGAGAAAGUUUUUAUGGGUACUCUUGUCACCCAAUACAUUUCUUCAUCCUCGUAACCCAUUGAUACCUUCACAAAACCUUUGAUGACAUUCUCUUUCUUUUAAGAUAAGUUGGGAGUCAACUUCUAUUCCCGCUUCAACUUGAGGAGGGUGGUAAGGAAGAUUCUUUUGUUAAGGGAGAUUCUUCUCCUAAAGAAGACAAGGAAAGUUGUCAUUGCUUGUUGCAGUAGUAAGGAAGAUUGUCAAAGGUUAAUCACACAACUGUUAUAGAAUAACCAUAUUCCUAUUUAUAUUAAAUUUCCAUACAUGUAUCCUCCUGCUAUGUAGAUUUCCAUCUAAGUUUCAGCCAUGUACAUCUAUAUAAAACAUUACUUGUCUCCUUGUAAAAACCAAAAGUCAAUAGAUUUAAAAGGUUCCCUUACAUGAGUUUAUUAACCCUCCUAUGGUGAGCAUUUAUAAAGCAAAUAUACUCAAGGGAGUAAAAAUAAAAAUAAAAAAUAAAAAAUAAACACACUAACUAAUAUUAUCAAACCAUUGUUAUUUACGUUAUAACCUUUAAAUCACUCCAAAAUACUUCUAUAAUUAAGCAUAUGUUUAUUAAUAUUACCACCCAUCUUUGAUACAUUUAUAAUUUGGGUGUGAAUUGAUGUAGAAACAUGAAACCUCCACUCAAGAAUGUUUUCCAUGAUUGGAAGGUAAUAUUUGGUACGUGACAAUGAGGAGUGAGAAAAUACAUCUCAUUCCUUAUUUCAUUUAUUAAAAAAAAUAUAAUGUAUUCAUUUUGCUAAAAAUAAAUAAUAAUAAUUCAAAACCAAUAAUUUCUAAUACUAUUUUAUUUUAAAUAAAUUUCAAAACAAAUAGAGUUUAGUUUUUUAAGAUAUAAAUGAGCCAAAUUUCUCAUUGCAUGUGUACUAAUUGAUUGAAAUUAAUUACUAAAACAAACUUGCAUGUAGUUAAUUAAAAUAUUCUAGACCGAUAGUAAAAAUAAAGAAUUUUCUAAUAACUAUUAUGCUAUCAUCAUGUAAGUACUUUGUGCAAUUAAGUGAUUCAUUAUUUAAAAGUGAGAAAUGAGAUUAUUCAUACUAGGUGAGACAAAUUUACUUUUCUAUUCCAAUUCUUAAUACCCGGAAAUGAAAUAAAUGAAAAUGACUCACUAAUUUCAUUUCAAUAUAAUGGCAUAAACAUGCCUAUGAUAGAAAUGUAAAACAUACUUGUCACAUCAAUAAUAAGAAUAUUAAAUGUGUGACAUUCAUGCCAAAACCUAAGUAGCUAGCCAAAUUGAAGUCAUUAAUAUCUUUAUCAUAGUCCAUGUAUAACUUUCAACCCCUUCAUUCUAUAUGUUAAUAAUGUUAGCUAGCUUUAUGCAUCAUAGAUCAUUUGGUUCCCUUAGGAUGCCUUGACUUCAACGGCCCACUUCAUUUUCAUGAUAAUGAAAACCAAAGAAAUUCCUAAAUUAAUUGAUUUAUUGUAUAAUUGCUUAACAAAUUAUGUCAAUUUGGCUACCAUUUGAUCAGUUAGACCCAUUAUUUACAAGCACUUAAAUAAGGUUACCCAUUUUCUAUGUACAUCAUAUACCAGCAGGUCAAGAUAAACCAGAAUAUUUUGCACCAUUUUGUCAAAUGGUUAUCCCAUUUUCAUCACUUGAUUAAAAAGAUACUUAUUUGGAAUUUUGAUAAAAGCUCUAUAAGGUUAUAUUUUUAUAGCAAUAGAGGUUGAAAUAAGGCAAAUACAUUGAACUAGUUAGUGAGAGGUUGGACUAAAUUGUCCUUUAAAGGUCUGAUGCUAGUGGAGGAAAAGCACUUCUGACAGAUGCAAGUGUGUAGAUGUUGAAAUAAAUCUCGUUUUAUGAUUGAUAACAUCUAUUGCAUUUAACAAAGGCAAAUACCACAUUUUAAGCUUGAUUUAACUGUUAAAUAUAUUUUUCAUUUAAUUAAUUAUAUGUUAUCUCGUGUAUACUCGAUUUUUUAUAUUUUUCAUUACUUGUUAAUAUUUAUAACUAUUUUCAUUAAUAAAGAUAAUCUUAGAAACUUUUUGGGAUAUCUUGAAUGUAAGGGUGGUAUAUGAAUGAAAUCAAGGGAUCAAAGUCACACGAAAAUGAAUAAUAUUGUCCUAUUUUGAUCAAUAAAAAGUUUUAGAUUGAUUGGGAAUGUUAGAAAUGUCCAUAUAAGUUCAUUUUGAAAGUUUCCUAGGUUGUUUGUUUGUAAAUAAUUAAAGAUUAUUAAAAUUAGUAGUUAGCUUAUAGAAUAAAGAUAGAUUUUUUUCUUCUUUUUUUGUGGAGUUUUUUUUUAUCUUGUUUCUAGGAUGAUUGAUUUAGGAGAACUAUAAAUGGGUAUGAAGUGAAUUUCAAUUUUUUUUUUCUUUCCAAACUCAGUUGAGUUCAAGUAUUAUCUUACCUCACUCCACCUAUCUUGAUUAUAAAUAUAAUUAAAUAAAAAUAAUUUAAUUAAAUAAAUUUUUUUCCAUUUUUAAUACAAAUAAAAGAAGAUUUAUUUAUUACUAAAUUAUAAAUUGUAUUUUAUUUAUAAGUUAUAUUUUUUUUAAAAUAUAAUUUACAUUUAAAAUUUUUUAAGAAAAAUGAAAAAUAUAGUGUAGUGGGAAUGGGAAAUUCCCUUGCAUGUUUGCCCCGAAGUUAUACCCUUUAGAAUUUUAUUUUAUUAACUUUUGGAUAAAAAUAAAAAUGACCAUAAAUAAUCAUGAUAAGUUGGAAUAAGAAUGACCUCUAGAAUUGACUCCCCUUAUCAUACCAUAGAAGAAACACAUCUACUUAUGUGCUAAUUUAUAUAAAAGGACAAAAAUGAUACCUACUUGAUCCAUUUAUCCUUUAUUUUAUCAAAUUUAUAUAUGUGUGACAUAUUAGAAAGAGCUUGAUCUAGGAAAAUAAGACUAAACAUAAAAUAAGAGAAAUGCAAAAUGAUGUUUUUGAAAUAUAUAGCAUUGGUUUCCUUCAUGAUUUGUAAAUAUUAUCAAACACUCAUUUUAUAAAAACCAUAUAUUGCAUUUAAUAAAGGCAAAUCCCACUAUUUAAGCUUGAUUUCACUAUUAAAUAUAUUUUUCAUCUUAUUAAUUAUAUGUUAUCUUGUGUAUACUCGAUUUUUCAUAUUGUUCAUUACUUGUUAAUGUUUAUUACUAUUUCCAUUAACAAAGAUAACCUUGGAAACUUUUUGGGAUAUCUUGAAUACAAAGGUGGGGUAUGAAUGAAUCGGAGGGAUUAAAGUCGUUUAAAGAUGAAUAAUGUUGUCCUAUUCUGAACAAUAAAACGUUUUAGGUUAGAUGAAAAGAUUAGAAAUGUCCAAAUAAGUUCAAUAUGAAGGAUUAUCUCAGAGAAGAAAGAUAGAUUCUUUUUUUUUUUUUAUGGAGUUUUUUUAUCUUGUUUCUAAGAUGAUUGAUUUAGGAGAACCAUAAAUGGAAUGAAGUGAAUUUCAAUUUUUUUUUUUCAAAAUCGGGUUGUUUAGGUAUUAUCUUACAUCUACUCCCCUUAUCAUACCAUAGAAGAAAAACAUCUACUUACGUGCUAAUUUAUAUAAAAGGACAAAAAGGAUACCUACUUGAUCCAUUUAUCCUUUAUUUAAUCAAAUUUAUAUAUGUGUGACAUAUUAGAAAGAGCUUGAUCUAGGAAAAUAAGACUAAACAUAAAAUAAGAGAAAUGCAAAAUGAUGUUUUUGAAAUAUAUAGCAUUGGUUUCCUUCAUGAUUUGUAAAUAUUAUCAAACACUCAUUUUAUAAAACCACAUAUUGCAUUUAAUAAAGGCAAAUCCCACUAUUUAUGCUUGAUUUCACUAUUAAAUAUAUUUUCCAUCUUAUUAAUUAUAUGUUAUCUUGUGUAUACUCGAUUUUUCAUAUUGUUCAUUACUUGUUAAUAUUUAUAACUAUUUCCAUUAACAAAGAUAACCUUGGAAACUUUUUGGGAUAUCUUGAAUACAAAGGCGGGGUAUGAAUGAACCGGAGGGAUUAAAGUUGUUUGAAGAUGAAUAAUGUUGUCCUAUUUUGAAUAAUAAAAUGUUUUAGGUUAGAUGAAAAGAUUAGAAAUGUCCAAAUAAGUUCAAUACGAAGGAUUAUCUAAGAAAAGAAAGAUAGAUUCUUUUUUUUUUUUAUGGAGUUUUUUUAUCUUGUUUCUGAGAUGAUUGAUUUAGGAGACCCAUAAAUGGAAAUGAAGUGAAUUUCAAUUUUUAUUUUUUUUUUCAAAAUCGGGUUGUUUAGGUAUUAUCUUACAUCCACUCCCCUUAUCAUACCAUAGAAGAAAAACAUCUACCUAUGUGCUAAUUUAUAUAAAAGGAAAAAAAUGAUACCUACUCGAUCCAUUUAUCCUUUAUUUAAUCAAAUUUAUAUAUGUGUGACAUAUUAGAAAGAGCUUGAUCUAGGAAAAUAAGACUAAACAUAAAAUAAGAGAAAUGCAAAAUGAUGUUUUUGAAAUAUAUAGCAUUGGUUUCCUUCAUGAUUUGUAAAUAUUAUCAAACACUCAUUUUAUAAAACCACAUAUUGCAUUUAAUAAAGGCAAAUCCCACUAUUUAUGCUUGAUUUCACUAUUAAAUAUAUUUUUCAUCUUAUUAAUUAUAUGUUAUCUUGUGUAUACUCGAUUUUUCAUAUUAUUCAUUACUUGUUAAUGUUUAUAACUAUUUCCAUUAACAAAGAUAACUUUGGAAACUUUUUGGGAUAUCUUGAAUACAAAGGUGGGGUAUGAAUGAACCGGAGGGAUUAAAGUCGUUUGAAGAUGAAUAAUGUUGUCCUAUUUUGAACAAUAGAACGUUUUAGGUUAGAUGAAGAGAUUAGAAAUGUCCAAAUAAGUUCAAUAUGAAGGAUUAUCUCAGAGAAGAAAGAUAGAUUCUUUUUUUUUUUUUUUAUGGAGUUUUUUUAUCUUGUUUCUAAGAUGAUUGAUUUAGGAGAACCAUAAAUGGAAAUGAAGUGAAUUUCAAUUUUUUUUUUUUUUCAAAAUCGGGUUGUUUAGGUAUUAUCUUACAUCCACUCCCCUUAUCAUACCAUAGAAGAAAAACAUCUACUUAUGUGCUAAUUUAUAUAAAAGGACAAAAAUGAUACCUACUUGAUCCAUUUAUCCUUUAUUUAAUCAAAUUUAUAUAUGUGUGACAUAUUAGAAAGAGCUUGAUCUAGGAAAAUAAGACUAAACAUAAAACAAGAGAAAUGCAAAAUGAUGUUUUUGAAAUAUAUAGCAUUGGUUUCCUUCAUGAUUUGUAAAUAUUAUCAAACACUCAUUUUAUAAAACCACAUAUUGCAUUUAAUAAAGGCAAAUCCCACUAUUUAUGCUUGAUUUCACUAUUAAAUAUAUUUUCCAUCUUAUUAAUUAUAUGUUCUCUUGUGUAUACUCGAUUUUUCAUAUUGUUCAUUACUUGAUUAUGUUUAUAACCAUUUCCAUUAACAAAGAUAACUUUGGAAAAGUUUUUGGGAUAUCUUGAAUACAAAGGUGGGGUAUGAAUGAAUCGGAGGGAUUAAAGUCAUUUGAAGAUGAAUAAUGUUGUCCUAUUUUGAACAAUAAAACGUUUUAGGUUAGAUGAAAAGAUUAGAAAUGUCCAAAUAAGUUCAAUAUGAAGGAUUAUCUCAAAGAAGAAAGAUAGAUUCGUUUUUUUUUUACGGAGUUUUUUUAUCUUGUUUCUAAGAUGAUUGAUUUAGGAGAACCAUAAAUAGAAAUGAAGUGAAUUUCAAUUUUUUUUUUUCAAAUUCGGAUUGUUAGGUAUUAUCUUACAUCUACUCCCCUUAUCAUACCAUAGAAGAAAAACAUCUACUUACGUGCUAAUUUAUAUAAAAGGACAAAAAUGAUACCUACUUGAUCCAUUUAUCCUUUAUUUAAUCAAAUUUAUAUAUGUGUGACAUAUUAGAAAGAGUUUGAUCUAGGAAAAUAAGAAUAAACAUAAAAUAAGAGAAAUGCAAAAUGAUGUUUUUGAAAUAUAUAGCUUUGGUUUCCUUCAUGAUUUGUAAAUAUUAUCAAACACUCAUUUUAUAAAACCACAUAUUGCAUUUAAUAAAGGCAAAUCCCACUAUUUAUGCUUGAUUUCACUAUUAAAUAUAUUUUCCAUCUUAUUAAUUAUAUGUUAUCUUGUGUAUACUCGAUUUUUCAUAUUGUUCAUUACUUGUUAAUAUUUAUAACUAUUUCCAUUAACAAAGAUAACCUUGGAAACUUUUUGGGAUAUCUUGAAUACAAAGGUGGGGUAUGAAUGAACCGGAGGGAUUAAAGUCGUUUGAAGAUGAAUAAUGUUGUCCUAUUUUGAAUAAUAAAAUGUUUUAGGUUAGAUGAAAAGAUUAGAAAUGUCCAAAUAAGUUCAAUACGAAGGAUUAUCUAAGAAAAGAAAGAUAGAUUUUUUUUUUUUUUUUUUAUGGAGUUUUUUUAUCUUGUUUCUAAGAUGACUGAUUUAGGAGACCCAUAAAUGGAAAUGAAGUGAAUUUCAAUUUUUUUUUUUUCAAAAUCGGGUUGUUUAGGUAUUAUCUUACAUCCACUCCCCUUAUCAUACCAUAGAAGAAAAACAUCUACCUAUGUGCUAAUUUAUAUAAAAGGACAAAAAUGAUACCUACUUGAUCCAUUUAUCCUUUAUUUAAUCAAAUUUAUAUAUGUGUGACAUAUUAGAAAGAGCUUGAUCUAGGAAAAUAAGACUAAACAUAAAAUAAGAGAAAUGCAAAAUGAUGUUUUUGAAAUAUAUAGCAUUGGUUUCCUUCAUGAUUUGUAAAUAUUAUCAAACACUCAUUUUAUAAAACCACAUAUUGCAUUUAAUAAAGGCAAAUCCCACUAUUUAUGCUUGAUUUCACUAUUAAAUAUAUUUUCCAUCUUAUUAAUUAUAUGUUAUCUUGUGUAUACUCGAUUUUUCAUAUUGUUCAUUACUUGUUAAUAUUUAUAACUAUUUCCGUUAACAAGGAUAACCUUUGAAACUUUUUGGGAUAUCUUGAAUACAAAGGUGGGGUAUGAAUGAACCGGAGGGAUUAAAGUCGUUUGAAGAUGAAUAAUGUUGUCCUAUUUUGAAUAAUAAAACGUUUUAGGUUAGAUGAAAAGAUUAGAAAUGUCCAAAUAAGUUCAAUACGAAGGAUUAUCUCAGAGAAGAAAGAUAGAUUCUUUUUUUUUUAUGGAGUUUUUUUAUCUUGUUUCUAAGAUGAUUGAUUUAGGAGAACCAUAAAUGGAAAUGAAGUGAAUUUCAAUUUUUUUUUUCAAAAUCAGGUUGUUUAGGUAUUAUCUUACAUCCACUCCCCUUAUCAUACCAUAGAAGAAAAACAUCUACUUAUGUGCUAAUUGAUAUAAAAGGACAAAAAUGAUACCUACUUGAUCCAUUUAUCCUUUAUUUAAUCAAAUUUAUAUAUGUGUGACAUAUUAGAAAGAGCUUGAUCUAGGAAAAUAAGACUAAACAUAAAAUAUGAGAAAUGCAAAAUGAUGUUUUUGAAAUAUGUAGCAUUUGUUUCCUUCAUGAUUUGUAAAUAUUAUCAAACACUCAUUUUAUAAAAACCAUAUAUUGCAUUUAAUAAAGGCAAAUCCCACUAUUUAUGCUUGAUUUUACUAUUAAAUAUAUUUUUCAUCUUAUUAAUUAUAUGUUAUCUUGUGUAUACUCGAUUUUUCAUAUUGUUCAUUACUUGUUAAUGUUUAUAACUAUUUCCAUUAACAAAGAUAACCUUGGAAACUUUUUGGGAUAUCUUGAAUACAAAGGUGGGGUAUGAAUGAACCGGAGGGAUUAAAGUCGUUUGAAGAUGAAUAAUGUUGUCCUAUUUUGAACAAUAAAACGUUUUAGGUUAGAUGAAAAUAUUAGAAAUGUCCAAAUAAGUUCAAUAUGAAGAAUUAUCUCAGAGAAGAAAGAUAGAUUCUUUUUUUUAUUUUUUAUAUGGAGUUUUUUAUCUUGUUUCUAAGAUGAUUGAUUUAGGAGAACCAUAAAUGGAAAUGAAGUGAAUUUCAAUUUUUUUUUCAAAUUCGGGUUGGGUUUAGGUAUUAUCUUACAUCACUCCACUUAUCUUAUUAUGAAUAUAAUUAAAUAAAAAUAAUCUAAUUUAAUUAUUUUUAUUUUUCCAUUUUUAAUACAAUUAAUAAGAGAAGAUUUAUUUAUUAAUUAAUUAUAAAUUGUAUUUUAUUUAUAAGUUAUAUUUGUUUAAAAAAAAAAAAGAAAUGAAAAAUAUAGUGUAGUGGGCAUGGAAAAUUCCCUUGCAUGUUUGCCCCAAAGUUGUCUCCUUUAGUUUUUUUUUUUUUUUGUACUUUUGGAUAGAGAUAAAAAUGAUCAUAAAUAAUCAUGGUAAUUUGGAAUAAGAAUGACGUCCCAAAUCUACUUCCAUUAUCAUACCAUAGAGAAAAAUGAUACCUGUAUGAUCUACUUAUAUAUUCUUUAUUUAAUCAAAUUUAUAUAUGUGUGGCAUAUUAAUUCGAAAGAGCUUGAUAGAGUAAAAUAAGACUAAGCAUAAAAUAAGAGAAAUAUAAAAUGAUAUUUUUGAAAUAUAUAGCAUUAGUUUCCUUUAUGAUUUGUAAAUAUUAUCAAACACUCAUUUUAUAAAACUAUAUAUGGACAAGAAAGAGACAGGUGUAGAAGUGUUUAAUUGGCAUGAAAAGGGUAGGUUUAUUUCACUUCUUGUCCGCUUUGGAUAUGAUCCAUUGAAUGUUUGGGUCAGUUGUAGUCAGAUGUUGAAAUAAGUGUGUUUUUGAAAAUCAUUGUUAGAACGAGUCACUUAUAUGGACUAGGGUGCUCAAAACUUUAGCACUAUGUUAGAACGGUUGCUUAUUAUUUUUCUAAAAGUGAAGCCGGAUGAACGAAAUGUGUAUGGAUAAAAAGACAAGGGUUUUUGAGGUAGGAAGGCUGAAGAUUCUGAGUAAAAAGAAGGGUUUGAUGGGAAGUUAUUGACUUAAGGAAGAUGUAUCUGUUGACGACAAUUGAAGGAUGAGGUGAAUCGGGAAUAAAGUGGGUGGGGAGUUUUUCUUUUUCUUUUUCUUUUUCAUUUUAUGGAUUAGGGAGAAAUUUACUUCUUUUGCAUUUUAUGUUUGAUUUUGGGAUGUUGAUUUUGAAACUCAUCUAAAUCCAUUUCUUUUAUUGGCUUCAAUGUAUGAUUCAAAAGGGAGGUUGGGAAUUGCUUCAAAUGGGAAACAAUAUGAAAAUGAAUAUGAUAUUUGGGAAAUCAUAUUUGUUGAUGCCAGGUCAACUAAGGAUGGAUUCCCCCCUCUAAGAUGGCAGUGAAAGCCCCUAUUCAAAUGGUGGAAUCUGGACUUCCCGUUUUCUUGCACAAAGAUGUUCAGACGGGUUGUCCAAACACACCCUCUGAAGCCCAAGUCAGAUAUUGGGAAUGAAUAAGAACCCUUAGAGAGAGAGAGAUGAGAGAGAGAGAGUAAGAGAUCUCACCGUGUCCUCUCCCUUCAUUCUAUUAUAGUAGAGUUUUUAUAGUGUUCAAAGGUAGAGAGGAGCUUAGUAGUGCUGAGCUGGCCAUUGUAGUGAUGAUUGUGUAGUAGGGCAAUCAUCAUAUUUGCAGGAAAGCUGGGGGCCGUGUCAGACGGCGCGUCAUGACAUAGCUUGCCAUCUUUUCAAACUUGCUAAUGACCUGAGACUUGAAGUGCUUGUCUACUAAAGUAGAUGUGAGGAUGGAGAGGGUCCCAUCAGUCAAUCUAGUGUCAGCUAACCAGGGCCUCGCAUAUCAAAGAAGAUUUGAGGCUAUCAAGAGGGAUGUGGGCCGCUUAGUGGCGCAAAUGGUCCGAACAGACUAUUCACCCGGGUGCCUUGAAGGUUGUUUGAGUAGCGAUAAAGAACUGCCGCAUGGCCCUGCUGGGAUAAUGCCACGUGGGUAGACACAUGGCAAUAAGCAUGGGUGGACACGUGGGAUAUGGUGCCCACAAUAUUGGUUUUCAUUAGUUUGUAAUGUUGAUUAGGGUUCAAGGAGAAAUGAGGUUAAGGAUAGGAAGAGUGUACAUAAAAAGACAUUUUAGAGGGAAAAUCUAAUUAAGUUUGGGGAUGUUGACUAGAUUAUGAGGAGAAAUGAGAUUAAGAAAUAAAAAGAAGAAUUUAGAAGGGAAAAGAUAUUUGAAACAACUUCAUUCCCUCAUGAUAUAAGAAAUGGUAAAAAUGUCAUUUUAUAAUUUUAUUUAAACACAUUUAGGAGAAAAAGUUUGACAAAGAGGUUAAUAUAAUAUUUUGGAAUAGAGGUAAAUUUUGUAACUUAAUAUUUAGAUGUGUCUAAUAGUUUAAAACAAAGAAAAAUUUUGUGUAAUAUAAUGAAAUUCGAGGAAGAUCAUCUCUGAUAUAGAAAAGAAAAAAAUUAUCCUUGAUCAAAAUAAUUUAAGAAUAGAAAACGUAGGACUAAAUUAAGACUUGUUCAUUUAGAUUGGAAAUUGGAUAUCCAAUUUCAUUGGUCGAAGAUAUUGAGUUCAUUUCUACCACCUUAGCAUGGUUUAGUAGUUAAAUUCUAGCAAGUAAAAUAAGUUUUAAUGAAUUAGGAUCUAUUUCAAAAUUAUUCUGAAAAAUAUUUUUUUGCUUUUUAAAAUGAAAAAUAAACUUUUAGCUUGAAAAGUAUAUAUAUUAGUUAAUUUUUACCCAAAACACUUUGAGAAUUUAAUAUAUUGAUUUUUGAGAACAAAUUUGAGGAUUUUUUUUUAAAUAUUCUAAAAAAAAUGAACAUAUUAAUUAUAUAUCGACAACAACCUUUUCAUUUAACAUAGGUGCAUAGUAAUUUCAUAAAGAAAAAAUUGAGAAAAUUAAUUUUUAUAUCUAAGUUUUUUAAAAAAAAAACUUGUUCUUAAAAAUAAUUGAUAAUAUUUAAAAACUACAUUUAAAAACUUUUAUUAUUAUUAUUAUUAAGGUUGCCAAACCCUUGUUUAUUAUUAUUAGCUUCUUUAAAUAUUGAAGUUAUUAAAAAAAUGAGCUAGCAAUGGUGCUGUCAAGUAAACACAAUCACGACAAAUUUUUUCUUCUUUAUAUAAUUAUGCAAUCUUAUUUAUGUAUAACACGGAAACAACAUUACAACAACAUGGGAAUCCUUAUUUUACAGAAAUUAUUUGACUAGUGUACGUAAUAAGAUAGUAAUAAUACUACCCAUCUCAAAGCUAUAAUCUUUCUAGGAUCCAUGCGACUGCCAAACCAUAGCAUACCAUAAUUAAACAUAACCAUAUACAUGUAGCCUGACUUCAGGUACUGUAUUCUUCUUCAUUUUUGAUCUUCAUAUGCCCUAGAUACUGUUGAGGGCUCGCAUUACCGAGACCACCGCAAAUGUCAGAUGGACGCUCCUCCUCAACUAAAGAUGAUACUCGCUUCAUUUGACCUGCAAAAGAUGUUCGAAUACACCCUUCGAUGGUUUUGUUAGUUCUUUUCUCUAACAUUGUUAUAUUCUAACUUGGGUCCUCCUUUUUUGGGAAAAAAUGCUUACCUUCUUUUAUUGUGUGAGGGCCUUUUAUAGUGUUAGGAGCUUUGUCCCCUUUGAUGGUGGGAAGACUUUUUGGUUUGUCAUGAUGAUGCUAAGAUGGUAGCAGAGUCAUUAUUGUUCUGCAGGCGGAUGUCAAAAGUUAUGGGAGGGAUGACUUGCCGUCAUCCCCGUCUUUUUGCUCUGUAGGCGGUGGGUUGCAGAUUGUGACAGGUUGCCUAAAGUGACCCAGGAGGGUCCCGUCGAGCAUACUUUUAGUAGUAUAAAUAAUGAUGGUCUGCGAAAUGCGGUCAAGACUUUUGUCUAAGACGCUGGCAUUGGGUCUGGACAGAACGUCCGGACAAGGGAGUGUGGAUAGCACGCCGGUCCCAUGGUCGUCCGGAUGAAGAGUUGAGAGUGCCCCGUGCCCCAUGAGGAAAAUCCGGACAGAGGGUUGAACUUGCCAUGUGUCCCAUGGAGGAGCGUUCUGUGAGGUUGCCACGUGUGCGCUUAGGGGUGGUCCUUACAGAUACGAUUUUCCAUCCAGCUUACGGGAGAAGAAAUCUUUGAAGUAUUUUUCCAUGCCUACUUGUUUGAACAGUGGCGGAUUUUGAGGAUUUAUCUGGCUGGGUGCAGGUUUAGUCUGAGCUGAGAAUUUGGGAUUGAAGAACAUGGCAAUGGAGAUCCUCUCUUUUGCUGCAUUUACUGUUGCCCGGUGCUCUAUGCUAGUGUAUACCCCGUUGCUCAGAAUCUGCAAAAUAGGAAGACGCGGCAGUUGGUAAAAAAGGGGGCAUUUUUCCUCAAGUACUAGUCAUUAUUCGGUGUUGUGUGUGUGUUCUAUUCUUUUUCUACCCCUGUAUUGUACUCUAGGUUUGAAUGAAUAUUAAAGAGAAACACAUGCCAGUGUCUGUAAUCUCAAAGUGACAGCUCCACUAGUGCAUAAAACCAUGAAGCGUGGGGCUGCAAAUGAUAUUUAAUUAAAACACAAGAUUUAAGUUUGAAAAUGGUAGCUAGGGUUUCGAAAAUAUAGAGCGGAUUCCAUUUAACAUUUUCUAUUUUAUUUUGUUUUAUUUUUUUGAAAGAGAGAAAGGAGUCUGUGGGGAAACCUCGAGAACGUCUCCUACAUUCACAACAAGAGCAUCUGGAAGGAAGCUCACAGGAAUCCAAACCCCAUCCUUUUUAAUUUGGAGACCAUCCACUCCAUUAAUUUGAAGAAGGAUGGUGAUGCCGGUUGCAUCAGAGUGAGGCGUAAGCCCCAUAACCAGCUCUGGUUGUGGGCAUGGAGGAUAGUAAGUGAUCCUCACUGAUUGCAUCCCAUCCUCAAACAACUCUUCCAUCUCUCCUUUCUCCAAUUUUAGAGCUUUGGCCAUAAACCCUAGAAGCAUCAUCGCUAGUUUCUGCAGCUCCGCUAAGUAACAUUCCAAGCUAUCCCUGCAGUUAAAGAAGAAAACAUAUAUAAAGCUGAAAGAAGAAGAAGAAGAAGAAGAAGAAGAAGACGAAGAAGAUGAUGAUGGGAGAGAACCUUAGCAAUGAAGGGAGUUCUGGUAAUAGAUACUGUUGGGACGUCAUUUGUUUUAUCCGGGAUUGGAUCGGAGUAUUUUUGGCUCUGGCCGGCCGUACCACCGAACUGUGCCAGACGGGGGGCAUCACAGCCGGAAUGGGCCGGGGACCAGAGUGGCCUUCCCAGGAUUCAAACUUGGGUCCUGUAGGCCUNNNNNNNNNNNNNNNNNNNNNNNNNNNNNNNNNNNNNNNNNNNNNNNNNNNNNNNNNNNNNNNNNNNNNNNNNNNNNNNNNNNNNNNNNNNNNNNNNNNNGUCCUAAGCCUUAAGGCCUACAGGACCCAAGUUCGAAUCCUGGGAAGGCCACUCUGGUCCCCGGCCCAUUCCGGCUAUGAUGCCCCCGUCUGGCACAGUUCGGUGGUACGGCCAGCCAGAGCCAAAAAUACUCCGGUCCAAUCCCAGAUAAAACAAAUGAUGUCCCAACAGAUACGGCUUCCUUGUAUGUAUAGGGUUGGUUAUCAUAUAAAACCUAUCACCCUAGUCAAGUUUUUGAUCUUCUGACCGGAUUGGAAGAAGCCCGUACCCUUCAAUAUCACCGGGGCAUCAUCUUGUAUUUCAUUCUCUCUUCCAAGGGAAGUUUGUAAAAUUCUUCGAUCUCCGAUUUCAGUUUCUCCACAAGUGAAGAUCUCACUCCAUGGUUCACCAACUAUGCAUCCAUGAACACACAUCUUAGUUUCUGUAUUGUUAUUUGUCAUUAUUUUUUCAUAUUGGAUUUGGUUUAAUAUCUAUAUAUAUGUCAUGCAAGGUGCAAACGGAUUAUAGGGGUCUACUUCAUACAAAAUUGCAAGGGAUAUCAUAUGAGCCUCAUUAAUUUCUGAGUAAUUUUGUCAGUCGCCCCAAAUGGUCCUCUCCAUUUGCAUGGACACAACAAAACAGCCCCUAAAGUUCAAGUGCAAUACAGAAAAAAUAAUUAGAGAUUAUCGAUGUUGAGAGAAACCGGAAAGAAACCCCAUUCUUUGCAAGUUGAGUGCAACUUCUCCAGCUCAGAACCUGCGGUUUCACUCAUAAUUAAAUGUUUCAUGUCAAUGGUGGGGAGUAGUGGCAGGGGAGUGCUGGCUGAGAGAAUUGGAGGCUGCGGAUCAUCCAGGAUAAAUGGCUGUGGGACUGCAGGGAUGGGCUCUUUGAUGAGCUCCUGAACACUUUGAAUAGGAGCAGCACGAAAGCUUGAAGAUUGUGUCGAUGCCAUUGCUAAUUGGCCAAAUUUCAGUGACCAAUUGAACCAUCUGAAGGUGGGUAUUUAUAAUGCAAAUAUACUUGAGGAAGAGGAAAAAGAAAAAGAAAAAAAAAAGGGGGUUGGGGGGAGGGCGCGGGCCAGCACAAGCAACAACAGAACCGUAUCAAACCAUUGUUAUUCACGUUACAACUUGUAAGCCAGUACCCCAGAAUAUUUUUUUUCUAGAAGUAUAAGGUGUUGUUUGAAUGUAUAUAUUUAGUACUUCCAAUUAAAAAUUGAAAUACAAAAGCUUUUCAAACUUGCCUUAAAAAUGUAAUAUCUUUUAAAAAAUUUAUCACCAAAACAUGUGGCAGGUUUUGAGUAAAUAAAAAAAACAGCCUUGACUUAAUUCGCAAGGUCCUAUAAUAAAUCCUUGACUGGAUGAUCGAUCUAGGCCCUUUUUUUGAACUAUAAAGGAACCUAAAUGGAGCGGAAGAAUUUUACUGAAGUGUCCAUCCAAAAAUGAAUUAAAAAUGAAACAUGAUGGAUUUGAAUUGUCUACUUACAGGAACGAAAAUGCUCACUAAGUUUCUCAAGAUGGAAUGAAUCAAACAUGGCCUAUUGUAAAUGUAAAAUAUAAUGCUCGUCUUAGCAAUUAUCUUUGACGCUUAUCUUACUGGAAUGGUUGUAUACGUUGAGUAUAAACACAUGCAUAUGCAUAGGAUUGAAGCAACAAAUCUUAACCUAUAAUUAGAGUACAAAAUUGGAUAUUUAGGGAUGUUCCCAUAAAUGGGUCUGAGUUGGGGUAUUGAAUUAGACUUUACUUGUUACAUGCCUUGACCCUAUUAGUGGAUUUCCUCAACAUACAAUGAAUUUCGUAACAAUAAAUUUGCUCAAACUAGAAAACUAUUAAAUAAUUUAUAUAGAUUGAAUACAUUCAUAUUAUAUUACUUAUGUAUAGAUUUUCUUAUUCUAUCUCAAAAUCCGAUUAGUAAGAGUGAGAAAUGAUGUCCCAAUAAUUCAUUUUGAUAGAAUAGCAAUUAUAAUAACGGCCCCUUUAGUUUAUUUUAUUAAGAAAAUGAUUUAUUAUUUAAAUUUCUUUCUAAUAAGUUUAGAUCCAUGUAUAUAAUCUUAUUUUUAUUUUUUGGUAUAGAAUAACAUUUACAUUAUUCUUAUAACAAUUUAUCAGUAAACUUGGGAGUUAUCACUCCAUUCAUAAUUUAACAAUCAUUCCAAAGGAAAAAUAAUAAUCAAUCAUAUUAUGAUAAGACUUUAUUUAAUUUUUGUAUUUUGGUUUAAGUCUUAUAUAUUCUUGACACACUUGUAGCAUAACAUAUACGUAUAUUAUACUUAUCACAUCCAUAAGUCAUAAUAAGAAAAAAGUGACAAGAUAAGAAAGAAGAAAAGUAAGGGACAAUCAAUCCAAAAAAUUGGACUAAAAAUUGUUUAGUCCAAUUGAAGUCAUUGAUUUCUCUGUCAUACUUGUCAUAUGAAUGUAAAAUCUAAAUCCUUCAAUUCUAUAUCUUAAUUAGGUUAACUAACUUUAUGCAUGAUAUGACAUUUGAUGCGUCCAUUUAGAACAUCGAAAGGUGCUUUUUCACUCAAUAUUGAAAAUGCACUAUUAAUCAGAUAGUGAUAUAUAUGUUUUCAAUUAAGAUCUAUAAUUUGUAUCUUAAUUUCGUUUGCUUAUACCCUCAUUUAAUGGCUUUAAUUUCAUUGCAUAUAUUUAAAAGUUCAAAUUUGAAUUUCGAUAAAUACCACUAACACUUUUCACACACACAUAUAUGCAAGAGAUUCAUUUGAUCAGUUAGUUGUUUUAUCCAAGAUGGUCAUUUGGUCACCCUUCAUGCAUUGACAUGAUUUAUUGUGAUAGUAAGACUUCUUUUUUAUUUUUUGAAAGUUUUAAAAAAAAUAAAGGGAAAAAAAGUAUAAAAAAAAAAAAUAACAAUAAAAAUAUUUAUGUUUUUAAGAUAAAAAACCAUUUUAUGUUUCAUGAUUGUAAAACAUGUUUUUCUUUUUUCUUUUUAUUGUUUAAGUAAAAAUAAAGCUUUUUUGAAAACCCUUUAUAUCUUCUUCCCUUUCAAAAUAAGAUGUUUAUACUUUGUAUUAUUAAUUUUGAUAUCCAAUUGAAUUAGUAGUUGAAUAAUGCUGCAGCCAGUUGGAAGAAAAUUAAUUAGAACGGUUAUAAAUUAGGUUUGAAAAUGAUGGAUGGCUAGGGUUUGAAAUAUUGAUCCGACUAUAUUUAUUAUUAUUAUUAUUAUUAUUUUUUGUUGCCAGUGAGAGCUGUAUGGGAACCUCCAGUGAGAGCUGAAAGAAGAUGAUGAUGAUGAUGAGAGAACCUUGGUGCUGGAGGGAGCUCUGGUAAUAGAUGCAGCUUCCUUGAAUGUACGUAUAGGGUUGGUUGUCAUAUAAAACCUAUCACCCCAGUCAAGUUUUUGAUCUUCUAACCAGAUUGGGGAAUGCCCGUACCCUUCAACAACCCCGGGCCUCAUCUUGUAUUUCAUUCUCUCUUCCGAGGGAAAUUUGUAAAAUUCUCCUAGGUCAGAUUUCAGUUUCUGCAGGAGUGAAGAGCUGACUCCAUGGUUCACCAACUGUGCAUGAACACACAUGUUAGUUUCUGUGCUUUUAUUUAUUAUUAUCAUUUUCCUAUUUGGAUUUAGUUUUAUAUCUAUAUCUUUUUCUGCAAACGAAAUAUAGGUGUCUGUUUGCACCAACCCUGGGCCUACUUUAUACAAAAUUGUAAUUGACAUCAUGUGCGCCAAAUUAUCGUUUUCUGAAUAAUUUUGUCUGUCGUGCACAUCUUCCUCUUCAUUUGCCUGGACACAUGAAACUAGAUUUCAUGCACAGAAAAACAGCCACUAAAAGUUCAAGUGCAAUAUAGAAAAAUGAUUAAAGAUCAUGGAUUUUGAGAGAAACCUGAAAGAAACCCCAUUCUUUGCAAGUUGAGUGCAACUUCUCUAGCUCAGAAUCUGAGGUUUCAUUGAUAAUCAAAUGUUUCAUGUCAAUAGUAGGGAGUAGUGGCAGGGGAGUGCUGGUUGACAGAAUUGGAGGCUGCGGAUCAUCCAGGAUAAAGGGCUGUGGGACUGCAGGGAUGGGCUUUUUGAUGAGCUCCUGAACACUUUGCACAGGAGCAUCACGAAGCCUUGAAAACUGUGUUGAUGCAUGCCAUUGCUAAGUGACCUAAUUCAGUGACCUAUUGAACCAUCAUAAGGUGGGUAUUUAUAAAGCAAAUAUAUUAAGGAAAUGAAAAGAAAGAAAGAAAGAAACAAACAAACAAACAAAAAAACAAAAAAACAAAAAAGCAAACAAAAACAAAAGCAGCAGCAACAACUAAUGGGCUGUGUGAAGCCAUUGCUAUUACGUUAUACGGGUUAAAUCACUCCAAAAUAUAUUCAGAUGGAUAAAGUGUUGUGUGGAUAUAUUUCUUACUAUAUAAAAUCAUAAUAAUUUCUAUAUAAAAUCUAACAGCUAUUUAAAAUUGCAUUAAAUAGAUAAUGGUUUUUAAAAUAUUUUUAAAUAAUUGAUGAAUUAACUUUUUUCCUUACCUUACCUAGAAUUUAAAACAUUUUGAAAGUAAUUUUUAGAGGCUUAAGAUAAAUCCAUAAAUUUUUAUUAAUCAAAUUUUAAAACCUUUAUAAGUAAUUUUUAUGAACUUAAAGGAAGGGGUAUUUGAUAAAACUUAAUAAUUAUUAAUUAAUAACUCAAGUUAGCUUAAGUUAAAUUAUAUUUAAAUUGUUCAUUUAAAAAUUAUCACAUAAUUUUUACUUUAAGUAUUAAGGUUGUCUAAUAAAAUUAACUUAAAAUUUAUUUUAAAUCAUCAAAUUGAUAUAUUUAUCCUCAUAAAUUAUAAUUAGGAUAAAGGAGGAGGUUGAGCAACAAUGAAGAUUAUAAAAUAGUAAAAGAGAUUGUGGAGGUAAUUAAUUAAGGCAAAUAGAAGUAAAAAUGUAAAAUAAAGAUAUAGACUUAAAAAUAAGAUAAUUUUUUUUACUUAUUAUUUAAAGUUGUUUUUUACUUUAAAAUAUAUCAUUAAGUUAUUUUAUCAAACAUAUUUAAUUUAUUUAAUAACUUGAUUAAGUUAUUAAACCACUUUAAGUUAUUAAAUUGAUUUAUCAAACACUCACUAAACCUAUGUUUUUUUUUAUAUAGAGUCACAAUAAAAGACAUAAAAUAUGUCCAUAUGAUUUGGACAACGUCCACAUAUAAUAUAAGACAAUGCCGGCCAAUAAUUUUUUGCAUGCAUGGCUGUAAAACUGAUAAAGGAAGUAACUUUUGAACUUUAAAAACACCAAAUAAAAUGCAAAUUAAAGCAAUCUAGAAUAUAAAUUCAAAUUGCAAGAGCAAUAAUAGAGAAAAAAAAAAAAAAGGACAUGCAUUAUUUAUGAGGUUUAAUAAUCAAUCCAUUGAUUUUUAAAUAAAAAAUUAUAAAAUUUAAUUGGGAGAACUUUCUCCGUAUAAGAUUAGCCAAAGCCUCUCGGGUUGACCAAAAUCACAAACAUCCUACUAAAAUCAUUCUAAGCCAUUGAGGGUGUUUGAUAAAUUAAUUUAAUAACUCUACCAAAAGGUUUAAGAUUUAUUAAUAGGAUCCUAAGUUUUAACAAAAUCAAUUCAUAAAAUGAGUAAAAAUUUCUAACAUGUAACAAACUGCCAAAUGAUAAAAGACAAAAAUACCUAAAAUAUAACAAACUCUUAAUUGAAUCCAAAACCAACCAACCGUGACUGCUCUUCUUGGAACUUUUCUUAAAUACCCGUACAGGACAAAAGCAAAGCCCUUGUUUAGUGCUUAUUUUCUAUCCUGGAUUUCCAGCAGUAAACCAUGUUAACAACUUGUACCAACAUAUAUUAAGUGACCACUCUUCCCUCGAAUUCGCUUUAAUAAUAUUUACAACUUAUUAAUGAAUACCUGUUGUUUUUUCACAGAUCAAAACCAAAUGGUAGAAAAUUUUCGACAAUGACAUAAAAAAAUUAUACAUAAACACAUGAGAAGAACAGUGAAAGCUUGAAAGAAUUCAUAAGAGACGCGUAAUAGUGUGGACUAAAACAAAAUAUUAGUUUUAUGGUUUGAAAGAAAGCAUACAUAACAGUCAAGCGACCCAAUCUUGCUUUAAAAGUGAGAACAUUAGCGGUUAGUGAAGCCAUGACCUAAACUGCUAUUACAAAUCAAUUUUUUUUUUAAUUAUGAUAUCGUUUUUUUCUUCUCUCUUACCACUUGAACAGGUCUCGUUUGCAUGAUGGAUGGAUGUCGUUUUCUCCUAUUUUAGCAUUAGUUGAGACAUGAAUUGUCUAAGCUUCUUCAGUAUAUGAACGUGAAGAAUUUACAAAUUUAUUGCCAAACCAUGUGGCAGGCUUUGACUAAAUAGUGAAUCAUGUGUGUGUGGUGAUUAAGAUAUACCAGACUAUAGUUAUCAUGUUCAAGACACAAAUGAUAUCAUAUCAUGUUUAUUUUACUUGCAAAUAUGUUAAUGUAAGAACACACUGAUGAGCUCCAUUGAGUGUCUUUUACUCUUCUAUCCAUUACAUAUAGUCUUCACAAGUCAAUCUUCAUUUCAUAAGUUGUUCUCAUCAUGACGUAUAUAUUUAUAAAAAUAUUUUCAAUAACUUUUCUUAUUAUAUAAGAAAUCUAAUUGUAAUGACAUAUGAAUUUAGAAAAUAUUUUAUAUCCUUACUCCAUACCACAAUGUUCUAGUGUGCCACACUCUCCCUAUGGGUCACAAUUUUCUUUGUAUACCACAAUUUUGGUACAUGCUAAAAUCCCCUUCUUGUAUCAUACUGCCUAUGAAAAAACAAUUGACUUUACCUUCAACUAAAAUUCCUUUUUAUAAUCCCCUUUUUGUGUUUUAUUCUCUUUGUUCAUAUACCAUUUAUUGUAAUAACAAAAACUUUAAUGCAAAAGUACACGAAGUUUUAACGUGGUUCAAUUAUCAAUAUAUACAUCUACAAAAGAUCUUAUACAUCGAUAUCUACAUGAAGUGUUGUCCUCUCUAGAUGCUUAGAGUGGUUAUAACCAAAUCCCUAUGCACCUUGACAACAGGGAAAAAAUGGCUUUCAUCACUACACAAGGACUGUAUUGCUACAAAGUAAUGCCCUUCGGAUAAAAAAACAUUAGGGCUACUUUCCAAUGAAUGACGACUUGUGUCUUUAAGGAGCAACUUGGGAAACAAGUUGAGGUUUAUGUGGAUGAUUUUUUGGUUAAAAGUAAAAAGGCAAACCAACAUCCCUAAUAUUUGAUAGAGGUGUUCACUACAUUGCAUAAGUUCGAGAUCAAGUUAAAUUCAACCAACUCCACCUUCAAUGCGACCAAUGGAAAAUUCUUAGGGCAUCUUGUUAUCAGAAGGGGCAUUGAAGCUAACCUUGAUCAAAUUCUAGCCAUACAAAACAUGAACAUGCCAACCACCCAAAAAAAUGGCAAGAGCUAGCAAGCAAGUUGGCAGCUUUGCCUCACUUUAUUUCUUACUCAACAUUUUGGUGUAAACCUAUCUUCACCUUAUUAAAAAAGAAGAAAAACAUAAAUUGGGACCAAGAAUGCACCCAUUCCUUCAAGCAACUUAAAGAACAUUUGACACAUCCCCUAAUCCUACCAACCCUAUAACCUGGUGAGAUUCUUUAUAUCUACUCGGCAAUCUCCAAGCAAACGGUUAGUAUUGUUUUGUUUCGAAAUGAAAAAAGUGAUGAGAAACCCAUUUAUUAUGCGAGUAAAGCACUGUCGGAAGCACCCCAAAGUAAGAGAUGAUACGACUAAAAUCCUUCACAGUAAAAAAAUCAAGAAAAAAAUUCAAUAGAAGUUUAUUUUGAUUGCAAAAUUGAUAAACAAAAAAAAGAUUUUUUAUUUUUUAUCUAGGGUGCACACAAAACAUUGUCAAGUGAGAAAAUGGUUGUGGAUGAAUCUAGUAUGAUAGAACCGACAUGAGUUAUAGGAAUGUCAUUACCAUCGUCAAUCAUAAUGUCCUCAUUACCACCAUAUUCAAAGUGUAGUGAGAAAUUUUGAAAAUCAAAAGUGAUGUGGUGAGAGGCACCUGAGUCAACCAUCUAAGUGCUAUGGUCUCCAGCUUGAUCACUAGCCAUGUAAUUAGCUUGAGGUGAGAAGCUUGGUGGUGGUCGUGAACGACAUACCUUGGUACUGUGGCUAAUUUUGUUACAUAGUUGACAGAUAAUUCGACAUUGAUUGUUUCCAUUGUUGGGAUGCCAAGAAUGCUAUGGAAUUGAAAUGCUGUUGGGAAUGGAGAUUGUCUUAAUUGGAGAAUCUAUGAUCACCUUGAAUAGUUCUUUUUCACUAAUUGUCAAAGAUAUUACGUUGCCAAAAUCAUUGGUUGACCCUUUGUUGUUGAAAUUGCCUCUAAGAUGUCUACUAGAUUUUUCACUAUUUCUUUUAUGAUUAGAGAAUUUUUUAUGAAGCUGAGUAGUGAUUGGUGGAGUUUCCUUGCUGGUGUCAUCUUGCUUCAAAAGAGUUUUUUUUUAUCCUAUAGUUUGUUAUGAAAUUCUUCAAAUGCAACUGGUGAGUCUUUGGCUCGAAUGGCAACACUAAUUUCUUUAAAAUCAUUGUCUAGCCUAUUAAGAACAUGGAAGAUGAUUUCAUCUUCACUGAGAGGAUAGCCCAUGCAAGCAAGAUCAUCAACAAUGAUUUUGAUGGUUUGCAUGUAUUUAGCAAGGAAUUGAGAACCCUUUGUUAUCUUCAUAAGAAUAUUACGUAAAUUGAGCAUUCUAGUAUGUGAUCGGUUUGCAAAAGUGGUCUCCAGUUUCUGCUAUGCUUCAUGAGAAGUUGUUGCAGAGUAGAUAAGUGAGGCAACAACCAAUGUGACUGAUGCAAGAAUGGCAUAGAGAAUGAGACGAUUUUGUUUAUUUCCAUAACUUGCACUUGGGGUUGGAGAUUGACGUUGUGGAACCAGAUUACAGGAUGGUUUAGGGAGCAUAAGGAGUUAUGCCAUCAAGGAAACCUAAUAGAUCAUAUCCAAAUAGAAGAUUAGUGAACUGAGCUCUCCAAGAUGCAUAAUUCAUUUUGAUCAUAACCAAAUUGAUGCAUUUGACAUAUUAAAUCCUUUCUUUACUUUGAUACUAAAUUUUGAUAAAGAAUUAAGAUGAUAUGAUUAAAUACAUAAAAGAUAGAUAGGAAGCAUUUAAUUAAAGUUAUUUGUUUAAUCACUCUAUUUGUUAGCAAAAUAAUAGUAAAUCAAGUAAUUGACAAGACUCAAUCAAGUAAUAGACAUGAAUUUGGCCCUAGGAUCCUAAAUAGUCUCUCCCUUAAAAUAGAUGAUCGAUCAUAGUGCUAAAGGUAUGACCUCAAUCUAGAGAAGAUAUACUUAAAGAUUUCUUAAGUCUAAAUGAAUUUAAAGGCACAAUUAUGAUAUUUCACAACAAGAAAAUGAAGUUAUAGUCACAAAGUUUUAAAAAGGGCCAAACAAAAUCACAACUAAGGAUUUCAUAUAGUUCCAAAUGUAAGAAUUUUGUUUUUCAAUUAGCAUAGAAGUACCAAUUUUUUGUUUUUUUAAGAAAUUUUUAAUUAGGUUGAUAAUUAUUAAUUAAUUCAAAAUUUUCAAUCGCACAAAAAACGUAAGUUAUACUUGUUUCAGAAAAUAAUGAAAAGACAUGGAAGGAGUAAAAGCAGAAAUCCUCAAGGACAUGGCAGAAAAGAUACAUCUAGAGGAAAACCAAAGUAUAUAAAAAAAUAUGACAUGUUAUCACUGCAACAAGCUAGGUCACCUGAAGAAAGAGUGUAGGAUCUAGAAAAGGGAACAAAAUGAAUGGAAGAAAAAUGAAAACUAAACUAAUACACAAUAGCCGCAGAAGGUGAUGUUGUCAUUGUCUGUGAUGAUAGUUGAUUGAGUCUUGUAUGCUAGGAGAGUGAUUAGGUGACUGAUAGCUCAGAAGAAGAUUCACCCUUUUUCUUUCUUCUGGUUCUUCAUUGAGCAAACUGCAUGUCCUUAACCAUCUCCAUGGUUAGCUUCCCAUCUAGAGCUGAAUUGCUUAAUGGAACCACCAAAGUAUCCUAACUAUUAGGCAAGGAUCUGAGAUGUAACAGUGUUAGUUACUCAUCAUAAACAUCAGCUUUGGUCUCUUUAGAAAUAUGAUGAAAAACAUUGUGUCAACCCACUAUUUGAUUGUAGCAACAACCUUCGUAUGCAAUAUUUCCCGAUCAUCAUCACUCAUUCCUUUUGGUUUUGUCAUGCCUUUAACAAGCUUAAACAAAUCUUUACAAUACAACAGAUCCCACAUUUUCCAUUUCCAAAUAGAAUAAUUCGACGACAUUAAUUUUAUCAUCCCAAACAAAUUUUGCUACUCCAUUUCAACACACAAUUCUAGCCAACCUAGCUCUAAUACCACUUGUUUGGAAAACUACUUAUAAUGGUACCUAGCAACAGAAACCUUUUCCCUCUUUGUGUGAUUAAAAUGAGAUUUCAAAUAAAUUCUAGCAAAACCAAUAUCAUAAAAUAUGUCAACCAAAAGCAACACAAUAAUAAUAAAUAAUACAGACACAAAUAAGAUACAGAUUUUUACAUGGAAAACCCUUCAAUGUGAAGGAAAAACGAUAGGGUCAUAGUACGCUGUCGACUUCCACCAUGUGAAAACAAUGGGUUUACAAAGUUUCUCUCUAGAUAAGACUAGAGGCUCACAAUCAUCAAGAAAUACAUCAUUCUUGACUAACAAUAAUCUUCAUCAUCAAUAAAGAUGGAUAUCUUAAAAUUACACCAAUAGUAAAGUGUAGAUCUCAUUAAGUGGGUAUUUUGGGCAAACACCUUAGAGAGAUCAAAUGGAGAAUCAAGCCCAAUAAAAGUGAGAAACUCAUCACAUGGAUUCACCACAUCAAAUUUGAGCUAAAACCAACAUCGUUUCACUACCUAAUCGUCUUGCACAAGUUUCACACAAACCCCAUUUUUCUCUCCCACUCUCUCUGCUUCUCUUUCUCUAUAUCAUGCACUCCCCUCCUUUUUUUUAAAGGCAAUUGGGCUAAAGCCCAUUUAUGAGUCCAACCCACACAUGGGACAAACAACCUAACAUUGAAAACACCUUUCAAACAGAGCCUAACUCUUUCUCUUCAAAUGUGUGCAGUAAAUUUGCAAAGUAGUUAUGAUAUUUCAUUUCCAACAACAAAUUAACCAUGCAAACAAAAUACUAAUUUUAUUUAGGGCUAAUUACUACUUUUGGUUCCCUUUAAUUUUGAAAUCUAAAUAUACAAUGAGAGUUGCUAUUGCACAAUAACCAGUAUGGGCUCUUGGGACAAAUCAUGCACUAAGAAAACAGAUAACGGCUUUGCAUAUAAAUACAUGUUCAUGGGGAGGUGCAUAAAUAAUCAUUUUAGUUGGCAAGAUGGAGAUUAAUGGGCAUUUCUUUUUGACAAAUGAAAAGGAAAUGAAAGAGAGUAUAUAAUAGCUUCCUAAAAUUACGUAUCAAGCAUAUGAAAAGUGAGGACUUGAUGGAAGUACUCCUCGGGGACACAGCCACGUGAGCUAAAGAAAGAUAUUAAAUCUAUGGUUUGAAAGAAAAGGAAGAAUAUAUGGCAGUCAAGGGAAGUUACGUUUCAUUAAAAGUGAUAUAUACGGCACAUCGCUUGAACAGGUCUUGAUUGCAUAAUGGAUGAUGAUGGACGUCGUUUUCUUCUACUUCCGUGUUACACAAGGCAAGAAUUUUCUAAGCUUCUUAUAAACGUGCUUUAUUGCCAAUUACUUUAUGCAUAAAAAGGGACUAUGAGGUUUGACUAAUUAAAAUAGGUAUAUUUUAUAUGAAUUCCUGACUAAGACAGGCCAUUCUCCAAGGGACAUGUUUAAAAUUCACUUAAAUAAUAAAGCAUCAUCAAUGAUGACAGGUUCCAGAUUGGAAAUCCACCGAAAGGAUCGUGAGGAUAAUAUUGUUGUUUAAAAGUUUUCAAUCAGACGAGCACAUCUUGCAGGCAUGGGCUUGACAGCAAAUCCUACAUAUGAUCGGAGUAAAAAUUAUAUGCAACUGAAAGGCAUUAAUCCCAUACACAGGUCUCGAUUCAUUCGAAUCAAGGAAAUCAGCCUCCUGUUGAAAGCGAACCAGCUGUAAAAUUGAAUCUAAAUUCUCUCAAUUCUCUGGUUGGAUUUUAAGUAAUAAUAAAGAAAGAUGAAAAUAUAAAUAAUCAUAAAUAUAUCUAUAUUUGAAUUUUAUAGAUAUAUCAAAGAUAUAUUGAUAGAUAUUUUUAAUACAAAAUAUCAAUAAAUUAAAAAUUCAUUGAAAUGUAAUAAAAAAAACUCUUAAAAAUAAAAUAAAAAGUGUAAUGUAUAUUUUUAAAUUAUUUUAUUAAAAAAAUUGAUAUAUGUAUGAUAUGAUUUGUAAUAUUAAAUUUAAUUAUAUCAUAUUGGUCGAUACAAAAUAUGAAUUUUGUAAGUAUACACUUAUUAUAAAAUUAAAUUAUCGUAAAUAUACUAAUUAUGUAAUUCAAAUAUAUUGCUAUACUAAGUUAAUUUACUUACAUAUAUUGAAAACAUAUUAAUUAAUUAUAAAAAUAUAUUAAUUUAAAUUUAAUGUUAUACUAAUUUAAAAAUGUAAUAAGUUAAUUUAUUCUCAAUUGGCUAUUAUUAUAGUUGAAUAUUAAAAUAAAAUUAAAUCAUUAAUUUAAAACUAAAUUAUUGUAAAUGUACUAAUUAUAUUAUUUAAAUGUAUUUAUGAUUUUUAUUUAAAAAUAUUGGUACAUUUUGACUCAAAAUAUUUUUAUUUAAAAAUAUUGAUAAUUUUAUUUAUGAUUUUAUAUUUGUUUUAUAUUUAAUUAGUAUACAAAAUAGAUUAUAAGAUAAUUAAAAUUAAUUUAUUUAUAAUAAUUUAAUUUUUUAAUGAUAUAUUUGAUAUACCACUAAAAUUUUAAUGAUUUUCUUUUUUAUCUAGAUUUAAUUUUUGCUUGUAUCACCGUUAUAUGUGUGAUUAUCGAUAUAUUAUUGAUAUUUUCAUCAGCUGAUAUAUCAAUUUUAUCUCAUAUGUAAUAUAUUGAACAUAUAUUGUCCAUAUAUCUCCAUAUUCUUUGUAAUGAAAACGUGAUAAUUUAGUUAGUGAAAAGGACGCAACUAGUCAUCUUAGUCCAUCCAAAAACUAUUGAGCCGGAAAUGAUAACCAUUAAUUUCCCUAUGACAAGUGUCAUGCUGACAUGAAUUUUGAGCUUAUCUUAAUUUGGUUUUGCCGGUACAUCCACGAUGGGUGCAUUGACUUGACUAGCAAGCUCACUGGACCACUCCAUUUCUAUGAUAUAAAAAUCAAAGGAGGUUCCUAAACUGACUGACUUGUUACUAAUUUGUAUUUUCCCAUCAGAUUCUAAUUAAGUAUUUUACUCCGGAUGGCAUUUGGUCACCAACAAAUUCAUCUCUCAAGAACACUUAACCUUGCUUUCUUUGUCCAACUCCUGAUUAGUCAAGGAACCCAGAUUUUCAAAUAUUAAUUUUUUGUGAUAUUUCACUCUCUUUUUCCUCACGUGAUUGAAAAUGGGCUUGUUUGGACUUUGGAAAAGGAUUGAAGGGUUGCAUAUGAUAAAAGUUUAGUUGAAUAUAUGUCGAACAGAAACAAUGUCUAUGUAGACAGAGAAAGAGGGAAGGAGAAGAAAGAUGGAUUUUUUUUUUAGUAUUUAGUUGUUGUCUUUAAGAUGACUAAUUUAAGACAAUUACACACAGGUUAAGAGUGAAUUUGAAUUUUUAAGUUGAGUUUAGGUAUUAUCUUACCUCACUCCACCGAUAUUGAUUAUAAAUAUAUUUAAAUAAAAAAUAAUUUAAUUUAAUUCAAUUUUUUAUUAUUCUAUUUUUAAUAUAAAUAAAUAAAAUUUAGUUAUUUAUAAAUUAUAUUUUAUUUAUAAGUUAUAUUUAACUUUAAUAUAAUUUAAAUUUUAAAAAAUAAUAAUUAAAAAAUAAAGGGUGGAGUAGGUGUGGAAAAUCCCCCUACUCUUUUGCUCUAAAUUUUCUCCAUCUACAAAUUUUUAUUUGGACAAAGAUGAAAAUAAAAAUAAAUAAUCAAGAUAAGUUAGGAUAAUAGUGACUUCCAAAACCCACUUUCACUAUCAAAUUAAUUUUGGAGGAGAAACAUCUAUAUAUACAUAUAUCGAGAAGGUUCAUAUAGAGGAUAUAUAAAACGAUAUAUGUAUGAUGUAAUUAUCCCACAUUUAAUCAAACUUAUAUAUAUAUUAUAUGUGGUAAUAACAUCCAUCAAUUAAUAAAACUUAUUUGUUUAUUUAUUUAUUAUUAUUAUUCUAAAAAUGAUGUUAGAUGAACAAAACGUGCAUGGAUAAGUGUGUCAUAUAUGACACUAUUUUUUAUUUAGAGUAAAUUGUAGGAACCUUCUCAUAGGUGACAUUGCACUUAUAAUUUUGGGAUAUUGAACUGGUCUUUCUGGAGGUCUUGAUAAAAAUAUAAUAUGGUUAUUGAUGGAUGUUAACGUACCCUCUACUUAUUAACAGAAUCAUGAUUAAUGUCACUCUCAAAUAUUUACAAAAUACAUAUUUUAAAUUAAUUUUAAUAAAAAUCAAAUUACUUUAAUUAACAUUAACUUAUUUUUCAAUCCAUAAUAAUCAUCUUAAUUAGUGUAGAUGAAGUAUUGGGGUUUAGAAAACUCUUGAAACCCAUAAAAACGGGUUUCACAUAUUUUAUGUUUGAUGAUGUCGAUUUUAAAACUCAUCAAAAUCCUUUUGUUUUUAUGGACUUUAAUGUAUGUAUGUAUGUUUCAAAUGGGGAAUUGGGAAUUGCAACUUCAACUUUGGUUAAAACAAAAAAAUGGGGAAGUAUAACAUAUUGAUAGGAGAUACAUAUUGAUAGGAGAUACAACCCCGGAGAAGACAAAAAAAAAAAAAAAAAUGGAGUAAGAUGAAAAAUAAUUAAGUGAAAAUAAUAAUUGAAGGAGGAGAGAUAAACAAAAGUACCAAAAGAAAAUAAUAAGAGGUAUUACAUUAACUUUCAUAUUAUAUAAAUAUAUUUUAGAGUGUGUUUGAUAGUAAUUUUAUUAAAUAUUUCUAUUUUUUUUAAUAUUUAAAUAAUAAAAGAUUUUAAAUAUUAAAAAUAUUAUAAAUAUUUUUAAAAAUUUUUACACUCUUAAUAAAGAAUUUAAAAUGUUUGAAUGAUAUGCAUUACGGGGUUUCUAUUAGUAAAUACUUCAAAUCCAUCAAAAACAUUUCGUUGGGAUCACUCCAAUAAAAUUCUUUAUUUUGAUUUGUACUACGCGCCUUCACUCUAUUACCACACCUUUUUGGUUCCUUUUGUCUUUUGACUUCCACCUUGUUUCCAAUAGUUACAAAUUGCGGCCUGGAUCAUUUAACCUAGGAUUUUAUUAUAGGACUUUCCAAAUUAGCCAUCCAUCUAGCGCCAACCUCUAAACUUGGCAUCACAUAUGACGAUAUGACAUUGUUUCAGGAACACACAUGAUUCAUUAUUAUUAUUAUUAUUAUUUUUAUUUAGUCAAAAACCUGCCACACCUGCCACUUGGUUUGACAAUAAAUUUGUAAAUUCCGCACAUUUAUAUGGGAAGAAGCUUAGAAAAUUCAUGCCUCAACUAAGACUUAAAUAGGAGAAUAUGACAUCCGUCCAUCAUGUAACCAAGACCCCUUCAAGGGGUAAUUAUGAGAGGAAAAAAAUGAUUUUUUAUUUUAUUUUGUUGUUUAUGAUGUUAUAAUUAAAAAUCUUUUUGAUUUGUAAUAGCAAUUUUGGUCUUGGCUUGACUAACUGCUAAUUUGUUGUACCAGUUGAAACGUAAACAUUAACAAAAUAACACAAAAAUAAAAUAAAUUAUAUAUAAAGAUAUAUAAAGUUUUAACCUAAUUUGAUCAAUCAUGUCUAUUUUUACGGAUGAAAAAUAUCAUUUCAUUAUGUAAUUAAAAAUAUAUUAUAAAGAUGAAUCCAAAUACAAGUAUUAGAUCCCAAAACAUUCGAUAUUUCCUCACUCUUUAUAUUUUAACAUUGAAUUAUAAACCAUUUUAUUCCACCAUGUGUUUCUUAUUUUUCCUUAUAUCUUGAUGAGCCACCUUGUUCCAUCGAGUGUCUCUUGUUAAUCUCUGUCCUCUCUCAUAAUUUUUUUUCCUUUUAUAACUUAAAAUAUUUAUAAAAAUAUUUCUAUUAACUUUUCUCAUUCUAUAAAAAAUUUAAUUACAAUUAUGAAUAAACUUAACAAAUAUUUUAUAUAAUCAUUCGUCCAUAGUGUAACCAAGACCCCUUCAAGAGGUAAUUAUGAGAGAAAAAAUUAUUUUUAUUUUAUUUUAUUGUUUAUGAUGUUGUAAUUAAAAAUCAUUUUGAUUUGUAGUAGCAAUUUUGGUCUUGGCUUGACUGACCGCUAAUUUGUUGUACUAGUUGAAAUAUAAACAUUAACAAAAUAUAUAACACAAAAAUAAAAUAAAUCACAUAUAAAUGUACAUAAAGUUUUAGCCCAAUUUGACCAAACAUGUCUAUUUUCACGGAUGAAAAAUAUCGUUUCAUUAUGUAAUAAAAAAAUUAUAAAGAUGAAUCCAAAUAUGAGUAUUGGAUCCCAAAACAUCCGAUAUUUUCUCACUCUUUAUAUUUCAACCUUGAACCAUGAACCAUUUUAUUCCACCAUGUGUUUCUUAUUUUUCCUCAUAUUUAUAUCUUGAUGAGGCAUCUUGUUCCAUCAAGUAUCUCUUGUUCAUCCUUGUCCUUUCUCUUAACUUUUUUUUUUUAUGACAUAAAAUAUUUAUAUUAACUUUUCUUAUUUUAUAAGAAAUCUAAUUACAAUUAUAAAUAAACUUAACAAAUAUUUUAUAUAAUCAUCUUUUUACAAAAAGAAAUAUGUUUCAAUUAAAAAUUUGAGAAAGUUUGAAACAUAAUAAAUAAAACAUUGGGUCAUUUGACUAUUAUAUAUGUUUUAUUUUUUAACCAUAGAAUGAAUAUUUUGCUUUAGUCCACACCAUUAUGCGGCUCUUGUGGCAUGCGUUUGCGUAUAAUUUUGGUAUGUCAUUUGCUGAGAUUUGUCUGCCAUUUGCUUUUGAUUUGUCAAAAAAAAAAAUAUAUAACAGAUAUUCACUGAUAUAUAUAUGUUGCUAAAUAAAAACCAUUAGCAUGUCAGCCUGGUAAACAAUACUAUUAAUGCCAAAUUAGAUGAAAGAGUGGUCUCUUAAUCUAUAUCGGAAAAGUUGUCUACAUGGUUUAUUUUUGGAAAGAACUAAACACGAGCAUGGCAUUUGUCAUGAGGGCAUUUAAGAAAAGUUCGAAAAAGAUCUCCCACUUCUUUGACAUGUUUUACAUACUUGGAAAAAAAAAUUUCUUGAGCACCAGGUCUUACAUUUCGACAAGGACCAUGUUCAUCAUUGACGGAUAUAUUUUCUGAAUUUUUGUUUUUUAUUAUAUAGAAAGUAUAAAUUUAUUGUUUUUUCAAAUUAUUUCUAAAAUUUUUAAAAUUUAAAGUAAUAAACAAAAAAAUUUAACAAAUUUUGAAAGUUAUUAUCUCGUAAAAAUCUUGUAUUUUAUUUUUAAAAGCAGAUGAAAGUAGUAAAUAUACGCAAACAACACCUUAUGCUUCUCGAAAUAUUUUGGAGUAGCCUAGAAGUUAUAACGUGAAUAACAAUGGUUUGACACGAUUCAAUUGUUGUUGCUUUUGUUUUUGUUUGUUUGUUUGUUUUAUUUAUGUAUUUUAUUUUUAUUUUUAUUUUUUCCCCUCUCCCUUAAGUAUAUUUGCUUUAUAAAUACCCACCUUAAGAUGGUUCAAUGGGUCACUGAAAUUUGCUCAAUCAACAAUGGCAUCAACACAGUUUUCAAGCAUUCGUGCUGCUCCGGUACAAAGUGUUCAGGAGCUCAUCAAAGAGCCCAUCCCUGCAGUCCCACAGCCCUUUAUCCUGGAUGAUCCGCAGCCUCCAAUCCUCUCAGCCAGCACUCCCUUGCCACAACUCCCCACCAUUGACAUGAAACAUUUAAUUAUGAGUGAAACGGCAGGUUCUGAGCUGGAGAAGUUGCACUCAACUUGCAAGGAAUGGGGUUUCUUUCAGGUUUCUCUCAAAAUCAAUAAUCUUUAAUCACUUUUCUUUAAGUUCUUGAACUCUUAGAGGCUGUUUUGUUGUGCAUGAAGUCUGGUUUCCAUGUGUCCAGGCAAAUGAAGAGGACGAUGUAUGGGGCGACUGACAAAAUUAUUCAGAAAUUAAUAAUUUAGCAUAUAUGAUGUCCAAUACAAAUUUGUAUAAAGUAGACCUAGGGUUCGUGCAAACAGAUCCCUAUAAUCCAUUUGACUUUGCAUGACAUAAAUAUAGAUAUUAAAGUAAAUCCAAUAUGAAAAAAAUAAUAAUAAAUAACAAUAUACAGAAACUAACAUGUGUGUUCAUGAUUGCGCAGUUGGUGAACCAUGGAGUCAGCUCUUCAUUCAUGGAGAAACUGAAAUCGGAGAUCGGAGAAUUUUACAAACUUCCCUUGGAAGAGAGAAUGAAAUACAAGAUGAGGCCUGGUGAUGUUGAAGGGUACGGGCUUUCUCCAAUCCGGUCAGAAGAUCAAAAACUUGACUGGGGUGAUAGGUUUUAUAUGACAACCAACCCUAUACAUACAAGGAAGCCGUAUCUAUUACCAGAGCUCCCUCCAUCGCUAAGGUUCUGUCUCAUCAUCAUCAUCAUCUUCUUCUUCUUCUUCUUCUUCUUCUUCUUUCAGCUCUAUAUAUGUUUUCUUCUUUAACUGCAGGGAUAGCUUGGAAUGCUACUUAGCGGAGUUGCAGAAACUGGUGAUGAUGCUUCUAGGGUUUAUGGCCAAAGCUCUAAAGUUGGAGAAAGGAGAGAUGGAAGAGUUGUUUGAGGAUGGGAUGCAAUCAGUGAGGAUGACUUACUAUCCUCCAUGCCCACAACCAGAGCUGGUUAUGGGGCUUACGCCUCACUCUGAUGCUACCGGCAUCACCAUCCUUCUCCAGAUUAAUGGAGUGGAUGGUCUCCAAAUUAAAAAGGAUGGGGUUUGGAUUCCCGUGAGCUUCCUUCCAGAUGCACUUGUUGUGAAUGUAGGAGACAUUCUUGAGGUUUCCCCACAGACUCCUUUCUCUGUUUCAGAAAAUAAAAUAAAAUAAACUAGAAAAUGCAUGCUAAAUGGAAUCCCCCAUAUACGGUUUUCAAACUUAAUUUUUUUUGUGUUUUAAUUAUUAGAACAUAAGCUUCCACCAUCGAUGACAAUAAUUUUCCUGUGUUUGAUUGUACUCUACAAAUAACAAAAGAAAAUAAAAUAUAAUUAAAAUUAAUUAAAAAUUAAAACAUUUUUCAAAUUAUUUAUUCUUUAUAUUAAAUAUUUAAAAUAAGUGAAAUAAAUUUGAAGUGAUAUAUAAAAUUAAUUUAUUGAUUUUAUUUUUUAUUAUUUUUAUUUUCCCUCUCAAUUUUCUCUUUCUUGUAAAAAAGGAAAACAAAAGAAAGAAAAUAAAAGAUACACACAACACUAAACAAUAAGUAGAACUCAAGGAAAAAUGCCCCUUUUUUAACCAACUGCCGCGUCCUCCUAUUUUGCAGAUUCUGAGCAACGGAGUGUACACUAGCAUAGAGCACCGGGCAACAGUAAAUGCAGCAAAAGAGAGGAUCUCCAUUGCCAUGUUCUUCAACCCCAAAUCCUCAGCUCAGAUUAAACCCGCCGCCAGUCUGAUAAAUCCUCAAAAUCCUCCACUGUUCAAACAAGUAGGGAUGGAAAAAUACUUCAAAGAUUUCUUCUCCCGUAAGCUGGAUGGAAAAUCAUAUUUAGAGCAUAUGAAGAUAAAAAAUGAGGAAGCAUAAAGUACCUGAAGCCCUGCUACAUUCAUAUGGUUAUGUUUAAGUAUGGUAUGGUUUGGUAGUUGCAUGGAUCCAAGAAAUAUUAUAGCUUUGAGGUUGGUAGUACCGUUCCUAUCUCAUUACGUACACUUAUCGAAUAAGUUCUGUAAAAUAA
rnacentral:lncRNA from 1 species